rnacentral:lncRNA from 1 species
CAGGCUGAAGCUUUUUGACAUAAGCAUCGCAUCCCCAAACUUUAAGAAAUGACAACUUUGGUUUCUUGCCAUGCCAUAUCUCAUAUGGUGUCAUCUUAAUGGAUUUUGAUGGUGCCCUAUAUAAAGCGAACGCAGCUGUCUUUAAUGCAUAACCCCAAAACGAUAACGGCAAAUCGGUUAGAGACAUCAUAGAUCGCACCAUAUCUAACAAAGUACGAUUACGACGUUCGGACACACCAUUACGCUGUGGUGUUCUAGGCGGUGUCAAAUGUGAAAUGAUUCCAUAUUUUCUUAAGUGAGCACCAAACUCGAAACUCAGAUAUUCGCCCCCUCGAUCAGAUCGUAGGAACUUGAUCUUCUUGUUAUGAUGAUUUUCAACUUCACUCUGAAAUUGCUUGAACUUUUCAAACGUUUUAGACUUGUGCUUCAUUAAGUAGAUAUAUCCAUACCUACUCAAAUCACCAGUGAAGGUGAGAAAAUAACGAUAUCCGCCGCAUGCCUCCACACUCAUUGGACCGCAUACAUCAGUAUGUAUGAUCUCUAACAAGUCACUUGCACGCUCCAUUGUUCCGGAGAACGGGGUCUUAGUCAUCUUGCCCAUGAGGCAUGGUUCGCACGUGUCAAGUGAUUCAAAAUCAAGUGACUCCAAAAGCCCAUCAACAUGGAGUUUCUUCAUGCGCUUUACACCAAUAUGACAUAAGCGACAGUGCCGCAAAAAGGUGGCGCUCUCAUUGUUAACUCUACAUCUUUUGGUCUCAAUGUUAUGUAUAUGUGUGUCAUCACAAUCAAGAUUCAAUAUGAACAAACCCCUCACAUUGGGUGCAUGACCAUAAAAGAUAUUACUCAUAAGAAUAGAACAACCAUUAUUCUCUGACUUAAAUGAGUAACCGCAUCGCACUAAACAAGAUCAAGAUAUAAUGUUCAUGCUUAACGCAUGCACUAAAUAACAAUUAUUUAAGUUCAUAGCUAAUCCUGAUGGUAACUGAAGUGAGACUGUGCCGACGGCGAUUGCAUCAACCUUGGAACCAUUUCCCACACGCAUCGUCACUUGAUCCUUCGCCAGCCUUCAUUUAUUCCGCAGUUCCUGUUUCGAGUUGCAAAUAUCAGCAACAGAACCAGUAUCAAAUACCCAGGUACUACUACGAGAGUUGGUUAGGUACACAUCAAUAACAUAUAUAUCACAUAUACUCGGUUUGGCGUUGGCCGCCUUCUUAUCAGCCAAAUACUUGGGGCAGUUCUGCUUCGAGUGACCCAUCCCCUUGCAAUAAUAGCACUCUAUUUCCGGCUUAGGUCCAGCCUUGGGUUUCUUCGUCGGAUUGGCAACAGUUUUGCCGCUCUUCUUGGAGCUACCCUUCUUGCCUUUGCCGUUUCUCUUGAAACCAGUGGUCUUAUUGACCAUCAACACUUGAUGUUCUUUCCGGAGUUCUGACUCUGCGACUUUCAGCAUCGCGAAUAACUCGUCGGGUGACUUGUUCAUCCCUUGCAUGUUAUAGUUCAACACAAAGCUCUUGUAGCUAGUUGGCAGUGAUUGAAGAAUUUUGUCAUUGAUAGCCUCUUGUGUAAGUUCAACUCCUAGCUCAGCUAGACGGUUUGACUACCCAGACAUUUUGAGCACAUGUUCACUGAAAAACGAAUUCUCCUCCAUCUUGCAAGCAUAGAAUUUAUCGGAGGUCUCAUACCUCUCGAUCCGGGCGUUCUUCUGAAAGAUAAACUUCAACUCCUGGAACAUCUCAUAUGCUCCAUGACGUUCAAAGCGUCAUUCAAGUCCCGGUUCUAAGCCAUACAAGACUGCACAUUGAACUACUGAGUAGUCCUCCUUACGUUCUUGCCAAGCGUUCAAAACAUCUUGAUGAGACGUAGCGGGUGGUUCAUCUACUAGCGUAGCAUCAAGGACAUAAUUAUUUUUCCUAGCUUGUAGGAUGAGCCUAAGAUUACGAGCCCAGUCUACAAAGUUGCUACCAUCAUCUUUCAGCUUAGCUUUCUGUAGGAACGUAUUGAAAUUCAGGGUUGCUACUGCGUGAGCCAUUGAUCUACAACAUAAAGUAUUGCAAAGUGGAGUUAGACUAUGUUCAAGACAAUUAGAGGCUAAGUAAUCAAAUUACUAAUAAACUCCCACUCAAAUAGACAUCCAUCUAGUUACUUGAGUGUGGCAUGAUCCAAAUUCACUAACUCAAGUCCGAUCAUCACGUGAGUUGAGUGUGGUUUCAGUGGUAAACAUAUCUAUGCUAAUCAUAUCAACUAUACGAUUCAUGCUCGACCUUUCGGUCUCUUGUGUUCCGAGGCCAUGUCUGCACAUGCUAGGCUUGUCAAGUUUAACCCGAGUGUUCCGCGUGUGCAACUGUUUUGCACCCAUUGUAUGUGAACGUUGAGUCUAUCACACCCGAUCAUCACGUGGUGUCUCGAAACGCCAAACUGUCGCAACGGUGCACAGUCGGGGAGAGCACGAUUUUAUCUUGAAAUUUAGUGAGGGAUCACCUUAUAAUGCUACCGUCGUUCUAAGCAAGAUAAGGUGCAUAAAAGGAUUAACAUCACAUGCAAUUCAUAAGUGACAUGAUAUGGCCAUGAUCUUGUGCUUCUUGAUCUCCAUCACCAAAGCACCGGCAUGAUCUUCAUCGUCACCGGCGCCACACCAUGAUCUCCAUCAUCAUGAUCUCCCAUCAUCGUGUCGCCGUCGAGGUUGUCGUGCUAUCUAUGCUAUUACUACUAAAGCUAUAGCCUAGCAAUAUAGUAAACGCAUCUGCAAACAUAAACAUUAGUUUAAAGACAACCCUAUGGCUCGUGCCGGUUGCCGUAGCAUCAACGUGCAAGUCGAUUUUAACUAUUACAACAUGAUCAUCUCAUACAUCCAAUAUAUCACAUCAUGUCUUUGGCCAUAUCACAUCACAUGCAUACCCUGCAAAAACAAGUUAGAUGUCCUCUAAUUUGUUGUUGCAUGUUUUACGUGGCUGCUAUGGGUAUCUAGUAUGAUCGCAUCUUACUUACGCAAAACCACAAAGGAGAUGUGCAAAUUGCUAUUUAACCUCUCUGCAAGGACCGCCUCGGUCAAAUCCAAUCCAACUAAAGUUGAAGAAACAGGCACCCGCCAGUCAUCUUUAUGCAACGAGUUGCAUGUUAGUCAAUGAAACCAGUCUCUCGUAAGCGUACGAGUAAUGUUGGUCCGGGCCGCUUCCAUCCAACAAUACCGCCGAAUCGAGAAAAGACUAAGGAGGGCAGCAAAUCGAACAUCAACGCCCACAAAAACUUGUGUGUUCUACUCAAUAUUACAUCUACGCAUAAACCUAGCUCAUGAUGCCAGUGUUGGGGAACGUUGCAUGGGAAACAAAAAAAAUUCCUACGCACACGAAGACCUAUCAUGGUAAUGUUCAUCUACGAGAGGGAGAUAUGAUCCACAUACUUUUGUAGAUCGCUCAGCAGGAAGCGUUAAAAACGCGGUUGAUGUAGUGGAACAGCUUUGUGACUCAAAUCACCGUCGUCCCACGAUCCGUUUCGAUCUAGCGCCGAACGGAGGGCACCUCCGCGUCCAGCACACGUACAGCUGGAUGACGAUCUCCGCCUUCUUGAUCCAGUAAGAGAGAUGGGGAAGUAGAUGAGUUCUCCGGCAGCGUGACGGCGUGCCGGUGAUGUCGAUGAUCUAACCUACAGGGCUCCGUCUGAGCUCCGCAGAAAACCGGUCUGGAGGAAGAACUACGAAGUAGAGGUUUAGGGUUGCACGUGGCAAAGUUGUGUCUCAAAACCCCUAAAACCUCUAGUAUAUAUAGGAGGAGGGGAGGGGCUAUCCUUGAGGCUCAAGAGAGCCCCAAGGGCGCCGACCAAGAGAGUAGGACUCCAACUCCAAUUUGGUUUGGGGAAGGGAGUAGUCCCAUCCUUCCUUCCCACCUCCUUUUUUUCUUUCCUUUGGUUUUUUUCCUUCUAGCCGACAUAGCCCACUUGGGCUGGCCUCACCAGCCAACUAAGGGCUGGUGCGCCACCCUUGGGCUAUUAGGCUCACUCCCGGGUGGGUGGGCCCCUCCUGAUGACAACCCGGAACCCAUUCGUUACUCCCGGCACACUGUUGGUAAUGCCUGAAAUCUUUCCGGAGACCAAAUGAAACAAUCCUAUAUAUCAAUCUUCAUUUCUCGACCAUUCCGGAAAUCUCGUGACGUCUAUGAUCUCAUUCGGGACUCCGAACAACCUUUGGUCACCAACACCUAUAACUCAACUAUACCUAAACAUCACCGGACCUUAAGCGUGCAGACCCUGCGGGUUCGAGAACUAUGCAGACAUGACCCGAGACACUCCCCGGUCAACAUCCAAUAGCGGGACCUGGAUGUCCAUAUAGGAUCCUACAUAUUCUACGAAGAUCUUAUCGGUUAAACCUUUGUGCCAAGGAUUCAUAUAAUCCCAUAUAACAUUCCCUUUGUCCUUCGGUAUGUUACUUGCCCGAGAUUUGAUCGUCGGUAUCCCUAUACCUAUUUCAAUCUCGUUACCGACAAGUCUCUUUACUCAUUCUGUAAUACAAGAUCUCGUGACUAACACUUGAGUCACAUUGCUUGCAAGGCUUAUAUGUGAUGUUGUAUUAUCGAGUGGGCCCUGAGAUACCUCUCCGUCACACGGAGUGACAAAUCCCAGUUUUGAUCCAUGCUAACUCAACGGACACCUUCUGAGAUACCUGUAGAGCACCUUUACAGUCACCCAGUAACGUUGGGACGUUUGAUACACAAAAGGCAUUCCUCCGGUGUCAGUGAGUUACAUGAUCUCAUGGUCAUAGGAAUGAAUACUUGACAUGCAGAAAACAAUAGAAACAAAAUGACACGAUCACAUGCUACGUUUAUAGUUUGUGUCUUGUCCAUCACAUCAUUCUCCUAAUGAUGUGAUCCAGUCAUCAAGUGACAACACUUGCAUAUGGUCAGAAAACCUUAACCAUCCUUGAUCAACUGGCUAGUCAACUAGAGGCUUACUAGGGACAUUGUUUUGUCUAUAUAUCCACACAUGUAUCUAUGCUUUCAUUCAAUACAAGUAUAGCAUGGAUAAUAGACGAUUAUCUUGAAACAAGAAAUAUAAUAAUAACUAUUUUAUCAUUGCAUCUAGGGCAUAUUUCCAACACAGCACACGUACAUCUCGAUGACGAUCCCCGCCUUAUUGAUCCAUCAAUAGGGGCGGAGAGGUAGAUGAGUUCUCCAGCACGACGACGUGGUGGUGGUGGUGGUGAAUUAAUCCAGCACGACUUCGCCUAAGCACCGCCAAAAACUGAUCUAGAGGAAGAACAGAUCUAGAGAGAAGUAGAGGGAGCAUGUGGAAAUUAGGGUUAGCUUUUCCCUCUAAAUUCUCUAGUAUAUAUAGGAGGGAGGGGAGGGGGCAGCCACGAAACCCUCUAGGGGUUCGGCUGAAAUAGGUGGAGGUGGAAGAGUCCACCUCCAAACCUACUCCAAGUAGGAUUCCUUUCCUACUUGGACUCCUGCCCUUCCUUUCCUUUGGGUUUUUCCCACCUCUAGCCGCAUGGGCCUUAGUGGUUGGUUUGGCCAGCCCACAAGGGGAUGGUUUGACUCUUCCCACAUCCCAUGAGGCCUCUUGGGUCGAGACACCCCUCCUGAUGGUCCCCCGGUACCCUCCCGGCACUCCCAGUACACUACUGGUGAGCCAGGAACUUUUCCGAUGACCAAAACAAGACUUCCUAUAUAUCAAUCUUUACCUCCGGACCAUUCCGGAGCUCCUCGUGAUGUUCGGGAUCUCAUCCGAGACUCCUAACAACAUUCGGUCACCAACACCUAUAACUCAACUAUACCGAAACAUCACCGAACCUUAAGUGUGCACACCCUGCGGGUUCGAGAACUAUGCAGACAUGACCUGAGACACUCCAUGGUCAAUAACCAAUAGCUGGACAUGGAUGUCCAUAUUGGUUCCUACAUAUUAUACGAAGAUCUCUAUCGAUUGAACCUCUAUGUCAAGGAUUCAGUUAAUUACGUAUGAUGUUCCCAUUGUCCUUCGGUAUGUUACUUGCCCGAGUUUCGAUCGCCGGUAUCUCCAUACCUAGUUCAAUAUCGUUGCCGGCAAGUCUCUUUACUCGUUCCGUAAUACAAGAUCCCGUGACUAACUCCUUAGUCACAUUGCUUGCAAGGCUUGUAGUGAUGUUGUAUUACCGAGUGGGCCCUGAGAUACCUCUCCGUCACACGGAGUGACAAAUCCUAGUCUUGAUCCAUGCCAACCCAACAUACGCCUUUGGAGAUACCUGUAGAGCACCUUUAUAGUCACCCAGUAACAUUGCGACGUUCGAUAACGCACAAGGUAUUCCUCCGGUGUUCGGGAGUUGCAUGAUCUCAUGGUCAUAGGAACACAUACAUUUACAUGUAGAAAAUAGUAGCAAUAAACUGACACGAUCAUAUGCUACGUUCAUAUUUUGGGUCUUGUCCAUCACAUCAUUCUCCUAAUGAUGUGAUCCCGUUAUCAAGUGACAACACUUGUCUAUGGCCAGGUGAUGAAGAGAUGAUGUAUAUACUUCUCGCACCUCGUUGGUUACCCCAAGUGGAAGAUUGAGAUGUAGUCAGCACCAAGUUUUCCCUCACACGGGAACUGUAAGCUUUACCGAACCAGAAGGACUCCUAGGACCAACGAGUAGGUGUCUUCCACCCUGGCGCUAGUAGAAGACAUGGACCUGCACACACACAAAUAACUUUGCUCCCAACGAGUACACAGAGGUUGUCAAUCUCUCUGGCCUUGUAGUUUGCAAAGGAUCAAAACACAAGCGGGAAUGUAAUAGUGAUUGCAACGGAAAAGUAAAUGAAAACGGUAAAUGAUGGAGGUGUAAACAAUGAUGGUGAUAUGGACCGGAGUCACAUGAUGUUCACUAGUGAUGUCUCUCUCCCAAAAGACGAUAAACAACUAUGCUUGGGUAAACAAAUCACAGUUGGGCAAUUGAAAGAAUUAUGAACGCACGGCAAUGCUAAUUAUGGCACUUGAUAGUUAGAGGUUCAAUAGUAAUGGGCAGUACGCCAAGACAAGUAGGCCGUUUAUUCAUCAUCAUCUACUUACUAAUCAUCCACCUUGAGAUAUCUAUCUAGAACAUCUGGCCGGUAUUAAGUUGCGAGCCCCACCCAAAGUGUAAACUGUUGGGGAAUGUUGCAUGGGAAACAAAAAAUUUCCUACGCACACGAAGACCUAUCAAGGUGAUGUUCAUCUACGAGAGGGAGAUCAGUUCCACAUACCCUUGUAGAUCGCUAAGCAGGAAGCGUUAAGAAACGCGGUUGAUGUAGUGGUACAUCUUCGUGAUUCAAAUCACCGUCGUCCCACGAUCCAUCCCGAUCUAGCAUCGAACGGACGACACCUUUGCGUUCAGCACACGUACAACUCGAUGACGAUCUCCGCCUUCUUGAUCCAGCAAGAGAGAAAGGGAAGUAGAUGAGUUCUCCGGCAGCAUGACGGCGUGCCGGUGAUGGUGAUGGUAUAUUCCUGCAGGGCUCCGCUCGAGCUCCGCAGAAAUCCGAUCUAUAGGAAGAACUACGAGGUAUAGGUUUGAGUUGCACGUGGCAAAGUUGUGUCUCAAAAACCCUAAAACCUCUAGUAUAUAUAGGAGGAGGGGAGGGCUAACAUUGGGGCUCAAGAGAGCCCCAAGGGCGCGAGCCGAAAGGAGGAGGAGGACUCCAACUCCAUUUCGGUUUGGGAAGGAGGAGUCCUCCUCUUCCUUCCCACCUCCCUCUUUUUUGUUCUUUUCUUUUGGUUUUCUUCUUGUGGUGCCAUAGUCCACUUGGGCUGAACUCACCAGCCCACUAAGGGCUGGUGCGCCACCCUAGGACUAUUGGGCUCACUCAUGGCUGGGUGGGCCCCUCCCAGUGAAAACCCGGAACCCAUUCGUCACUCUCGGUACACUUCCGGUAAUACCCAAAAUCUUUCCGGUGACCAAAUGAAACCAUCCUAUAUAUCAAUCUUCGUUUCCGGACCAUUCCGGAAACCCUCGUGACUUCCGUGAUCUCAUCUGAGAUUCCGAACAACCUUCGGUCACCAACACCUAUAACUCAACUAUACCAAAACGUCACCGAACCUUAAGUGUGCAGACCCUGCGGGUUCGAGAACUAUGCAGACAUGACCCGAGACACUCCCCGGUCAAUAUCCAAUAAUAGGACUUGGAUGUCCAUAUUGGAUCCUACAUAUUCUACGAAGAUCUUAUCGGUUGAACCUCUAUGCCAAUGAUUCAUAUAAUCCCGUAUAACAUUCCCUUUGUCCUUCGGUAUGUUACUUGCCCGAGAUUUGAUCGUCGGUAUCUCUAUACCUAUUUCAAUCUCGUUACCGGCAAGUCUCUUUACUCGUUCUGUAAUACAAGAACCCGUGACUUACACUUGAGUCACAUUGCUUGCAAGGCUUAUAUGUGAUGUUGUAUUACCGAGUGGGCCAAGAGAUACCUCUCCGUCAUACGGAGUGAAAAAUCCCAGUCUUGAUCCAUGAUAACUCAACGGACACCUUCAGAGAUACCUAUAGAGUACCUUUAUAGUCACCCAAUAAUGUGUGACGUUUGAUACACACAAGGUAUUAGUACAUGAUCUCAUGGUCAUAGGAAUGAAUACUUGACACGCAGAAAACAAUAGCAACAAAAUGACACGAUCACAUGCUACGUUUAUAAUUUGGGUCUUGUCCAUCACAUCAUUCUCCUAAUGAUGUGAUCCAGAUAUCAAGUGACAACACUUGCAUAUGGCCAGAAAACCUUAACCAUCCUUGAUCAACUGUCUAGCCAACUAGAGGCUUACUAGGGACACUGUUUUGUCUAUAUAUCCACACAUGUAUCUAUGCUUUCAUUCAAUACAAUUAUAGCAUGGAUAAUAAACGAUUAUCUUGAAACAGGAAAUCUAAUAAUAACUAUUUUAUCAUUGCCUCUAGGGCAUAUUUCCAACAGUCUCCCACUUGCACUAGAGUCAAUAAUUUAGUCUCACAUCGCUAUGCGAUUUACAUUGGAAUGAAUCUAACAUCCAUACAGUUCUAGUGUUGAUCAUGCUUCGCUCGUGGAAGAGGUUUAGUUAGCGGAUCUGCUACAUUCAGAUCUCUGUGCACUUUGCCAAUAUUUACGUCCUCUCCUUCGACGUAGUCGCGGAUGAGGUUGAAACGUCGUUUGAUGUGUCUGGUCUUCUUGUGAAACCUUGGUUCCUUUGCUAAAGCAAUGUCACCAGUGUUGUCACAGAAUAGAGUUAUUGGAUUUAGUGCGCUCGGCACUACUCCAAGAUCCUUCAUGAACUGCUUCAUCCACACACCCUCCUUAGCUGCCUCUGAGGUAGCCAUGUACACUGCUUCACAUGUAGAAUCUGCUACGACUCUUUGCUUGGAACUGCAUCAGCUUACCGCAUCCCCAUUAAGAAUAAAUACGUAUUCGGCUUGAGACUUAGAGUCAUCCGGAUCAGUGUCAAAGCUUGCAUCAAUGUAACCCUUUACGACGAGCUCUUCGUCACCUCCAUAAACGAGAAACAUUUCCUUAGUCCUUUUCAGGUACUUUAGAAUAUUCUUGACCGCCGUCCAGUGAUCCACUCCAGGAUUACUUUGAAACCUGCCUGCCAUACUUAUGGCCAGGCCGACGUCCGGUCUCAUGCACACCAUUGCAUACAUGAUAGACCCUAUGGUUGAAUCAUAGGGGACGAUAUUCAUCUUUUCUCUAUCUUCCACAGUUACUGGACACUGAGUCUUACUCAACUUCAUACCUUGUAACACUGGCAAGAACCCCUUCUUGGACUGCUCCAUUUUGAACUCCUUCAAAACUUUAUCAAGGUAUGUGGUUUGUGAAAGUCCUAUUAGGCGUCUCGAUCUAUCCCUAUAGAUCUUAAUGCCUAAUAUGUAAGCAGCUUCUCCUACGUCUUUCAUUGAAAAACAUUUGUUCAAGUAAUCCUUUACGCUCUCUAAAAACUCCACAUUGUUUCCAAUCAGCAAUAUGUCAUCCACAUAUAAUAUUUGAAAUGCUACAGAGCUCCCACUCACUUUCUUGUAAAUACAAGAUUCUCCAACAACUUGUAUAAACCCAAAUGCAUUAAUCACCUUAUCAAAGCGCUUAUUCCAACUCUGAGAUGCUUGCACCAGUCCAUAAAUGGAUCGUUGGAGCUUGCAUUCUUUGUUAGCAUUCUUUGGAUCGACAAAACCUUCGGGUUGCAUCAUAUACAACUCUUCCAUAAUAAAACCGUUAAGGAACGCCGUUUUGACAUCCAUCUGCCAGAUUUCAUAAUUGAAAAAUGCAGCUAUUGCUAACAUGAUCUGGACGAACUUAAGCAUCGCUACCGGUGAGAAUGUCUCAUCGUAGUCAACUCCUUGAACUUGUGAAAAACCCUUUGCCACAGGUCGACCUUUAUAAACGGUCACAUUACCGUCCACGUCCGUCUUCUUCUUAAAGAUCCAUUUGUUCUGAAUAGCCUUGCGACCUUCAGGUAAUAGUUCCAAAGUCCACACUUUGUUUUCAUACAUAGAUCCUAUCUCGGACUUCAUGGCGUCAAGCCAUUUGUUGGAAUCCGGGCCCACCAUUGCUUCUUCUUAAUUCGCAGGUUCAUUGUUGUCUAACAACAUGAUAGAUAAGACAGGAUUACCAUACCACUCAGGAGCAGUACGUGAUCUUGUCGACCUGCGAGGUCCGAUAGUAACUUGAUCCGAAGCUUCAUGAUCAUCAUCAUUAGCUUCCUCCUCAACCGGUGUUGCCUCGACAGAGGUUUCCCCCGGCCCUGCGCCACCAUCUAGAGGGAGCAGAGGUUCUACAACCUCAUCAAGUUCUAUCUUCCUCCCACUCAAUUCUUUCGAGAGAAACGCCUUCUCAAGAAAAGCUUCGUUCUUAGCAGCAAACACAUUACCCUCGGAUCUGAGAUAGAAGGUGUACCCAACUAUGUCCUUUGGGUAACCUAUGAAGACACACUUUUCCGCUUUGGGUUCUAGCUUUUCAUGCUUUUAUGUUGAUAUUUAUCGCUUUAUGGGCUGUUAUUACACUUCACGGUUAUGCCUUUUCUCUCUUAUUUUGCAAGGUUUACAUGAAGAGGGAGAAUGCCGGCAGCUGGAAUUCUGGCCUGAAAAAGGAGCAAGUUUGAGAUACCUAUUCUGCGCAACUCCAAAAGCCGUGAAAAUCAUCGAGGAUUUUUUUUGGAAUUUAUAAAAAAUACUGGGCGGAAGAAGUACCAGAGGGGAGCCACCAGGAGGCCACAAGCCUGCUAGGCGCGGCCUGAUACGUCCAUUUUGCAUCAUGCUUUCAUGUUGAUAUUUAUUGCUUUUUGGGUUGUUAUUUCACUUCACGGUACAAUACUUAUGCCUUUUCUCUCUUAUUUUGCAAGGUUUACUUGAAGACGGAGAAUGCCGGCAGCUGGAAUUCUGGCCUGAAAUUGGAGCAAGUUUGAGAUACCUAUUCUACGCAACUCCAAACGUCGUAAAAAUCAACAAGGAUUUUUUUUCCGGAUUUAUAAAAAAUACUGGGCCGAAGAAGUGCCAGAGGGGCGCCAGCAGGUGGCCACAAGCCUGCUAGGCGCGACCACCCCGUGCCGCGCCUAGGGGGCUUGUGGGCACCCAGCUGGCCCACUGCCCCCCCUCUUCUGCUAUAUGAAGGGUUUCGUCCAGGGAAAAAUCAAGAGGAGGCUUUUUCAUGGAUUCACCACCGCCACGAGGCGGAACUUGAGCAGAACCAAUCUAGAGCUCCGGCAGGACGAUCCUGCGAGGGAAACUUCCCUCCCGGAGGGGGAAAUCGUCGCCAUCGUCAUCACCAACACUCCUCUCAUCGGAGGGGACUCAUCACCAUCAACAUCUUCAUCAGCACCAUCUCAUCUCCAAACCCUAGUUCAUCACUCGUAACCAAUCUCCGUCUCGCGACUUUGAUUGGUACUUGUAAGGUUGGUAGUAGUGUUAAUUACGCCUUGUAGUUGAUGUUAGUUCGAUUACUUGGUGGAAGAGUUUAUGUUCAGAUCCUUGAUGCUAUUCAAUACCUCUCUUGUCAUGAACAUAAUUAUGCUUUGUGAGUAGUUACUUUUGUUCCUGAGGACAUGGGAUAAGUCAUGCUAUAAGUAGUCAUGUGAAUUUGGUAUUCGUUCGAUAUUUUGAUGCGUUGUAUGUUGUUUUUCCUCUAGUGGUGUUAUGUGAACGUCAACUACAUAAAACUUCACCAUUAUUUGGGCCUAGAGGAAGGCAUUGGGAAGUAGUAAGUAGAUGAUGGGUUGCUAGAGUGACAGAAGCUUAAACCCUAGUUUAUGCGUUGCUUCGUAAGGGGCUGAUUUGGAUGCACUAGUUUAAUGCUAUGGUUAGACUUUGUCUUAAUUCUUCUUUCGUAGUUGCGGAUGCUUGCGAGAGGGGUUAAUCAUAUGUGGGAUGUCUGUCCAAGUAAGGGCAACACCCAAGCAUCGGUCCACCCACAUAUCAAACUAUCAAAGUAGUGAACGCGAAUCAUAUGAACAUGAUGUAAACUAGCUUGACUGAAAUUCCCAUGUGUCCUCGGGAGCGCUUUACCUCCUAUAAGAGUUUGUCCAGGAUUGUCCCUUUCUACAAAAGGGAUUGGGCCACUUUUAUGCACCGUUGUUACUACUGUUACGUGCUACUUGCUACGAAUCAUCUUACCACACAACUAUCUGUUACCAAUAAUUUCAGUGCUUGCGGAGAAUACCUUGCUGAAAACCACUUGUCAGAUCCUUGUGCUCCUCGUUGGGUUCGACACUCUUACUUAUCAAAAGGACUAUGAUAGAUCCCCUACACUUGUGGGUCAUCAAGAAUUUUUUCUGGCGCCGUUGCCGGGGAGUGAAGCGCCUUUGGUAAGUGGAAUUUGGUAAGGAAACAUUUAUAUAGUGUGCUGAAAUUUAUUGUCACUUGUCACUAUGGAAACUAAUCCUUUGGGGAGCUUGUUCGGGAUAUCUUCACCUCGAACGGAAGCACAAGGAGUUGCUCCUCAACUUGCUGCACCUACUGAAAGUAUUUGCUAUGAAAUUCCUUCGGGUAUGCUAGAGAAACUGCUGGCUAAUCCGUUUACAGGAGAUGGAACAUCACAUCCCGACUGGCAUCUAAUCUAUGUAGAUGAAGUUUGUGGUUUAUUUAAGCUUGCAGGUUUGCCCGAGGAUGACGUCAAGAAGAAGGACUUUCCCUUAUCUUUGAGGGAUAGAGCAUUGACAUGGUAUAGGCUAUGUGAUGAUACUGGAUCAUGGAACUACAACCGGUUGAAAUUGGAAUUUCAUCAAAAGUUUUAUCCUAUGCAUCUAGUACAUUGUGAUCGGAAUUAUAUUUAUAAUUUUUGGCCUCGUGAUAGAGAAAGCAUCGCUCAAGCUUGGGGGAGGCUUAAAUCAAUGUUAUAUUCAUGCCCCAACCAUGAGCUCUCGAGAGAAAUUAUCAUUUAGAACUUCUAUGCUCGGCUUUCUCAUGAUGAUCGCGCCAUGCUUGACACUUCUUGUAUCGGUUCUUUUAUGAAGAGAGAUAUUGACUUCAGAUGGAAUUUAUUGGAAAGAAUUAAACACAACUCUGAAGAUUGGGAGUUUGAUGAAGGUAAGGAGUCAGGUAUGAAUUUCAUGUUUGAUUGUGUUAAAUCCUUUGUCAAAACAAAUACUUUUUGUGAUUUUAGCGCUAAAUAUGGACUUGACUCUGAGAUAGUAGCUUCAUUGUGUGAAUCAUUUGCUUCUCAUAUUGAUCUCCCUAAAGAGAAGUGGUUUAAAUAUCACCCUCCCUUAGAAGUCAAUUUAGUUAAACCCAAUCUAGUUGAAGAGAAAGUCAUCGCUUAUAAUGAUCCUAUUGUUCCCAGUGCUUACAUUGAGAAACCACCUUUCCCUGUUAGGAUAAAGGAUCAUUCUAAAGUUUCAAUUGUGAUACGUAGGGGAUACAUUAGAACACCUACACCCCCUGAGAAAAUUAGAGUUGAACCUAGCAUUGCUAUUAUCAAAGAUCUCUUGUCCGACAAUGUUGAUGGCCAUGAUAUUCACUUCCGUGAAGAUGCUGCUAGAAUUGCUAAACCACAUGCUAGAGACAAACAUAGGCCUGUUGUUGGCACGCCUGUUGUUUCUGUUAAGAUAUGAGAUCAUUGUUAUCAUGGUUUAUGUGACGUGGGUGCUAGUGUUAGUGCAAUACCUCAAUCCUUAUAUGAUGAAAUUAAAGACAAUAUUGCACCUGUUGAGAUGGACCUAUUGAUGUCACUAUUCAGCUUGCCAAUAGAGAUACUAUCUGCCCUUUGGGAAUUGUUAGGGAUGUUGAAGUCUUGUGUGGUAAAACGAAGUAUCGUGUUGAUUUUCUCGUUCUUAAUACCACACAAGAUAGCUUUUGUCCCAUCAUAUUUGGCAGACCUUUCCUCAAUACUGUCAAUGCUCAUAUUGACUGUGAGAAGCAAACUGUCACUGUUGGCUUUGAAGGUGUGUCAGAUGAGUUCAAUUUCUCCAAGUUUGGUAGACAACCUCAUGAAAAAUAGUUGCCUAGUAAGGAUGAAAUUAUUGCUCUAGCUUCUAUCGCUGUGCCUCCUACUGAUCCUUUAGAGCAAUACUUGCUUGAGCAUGAAAAUGAUAUGCAUAUGGAUGAAAGUCAUGACUUCUCCAAACCCAUUUUCAAUAUUAUUGAAAAUAUCAUAUUCAUCAUGAGGUUUAAAUUUUUUUCAAGAUCAUAAUAAAAAUAAUCACCCCAUUCAUGAUCAUUGCAACAAGUAGAGGACAUAGCAAAACUAGCAUCCCCAAGCUUAGAGUUUUGCAUAUUUUUAGCAUGAUUGACACUAAUAGAAUUCAUAGUGAAACCAUUGCAAUCAUGCUUUUCAUUCAAGGAGCCCUCGUGAAUCACUUCAUAAAUUUCUUCAUCACGAUUUUCACAUUCACGCAACUCAAGCAAAACUCCAUAGAGAAAUUCAAGUGCACUCAACUCACUAGCAAUUGGUUCCACAUAAGUGGAUGUCUUAAAGAGAUUAGCAAGUGGGUGAGGAUCCAUAUCACUAGGUUUUCAGCAAGCGAAGAUGCAAUCAUAAUGAAGACACAAAGCACACAAGGAAAGGAAAGGCAAACGAAAAAGGCAAACAAAAAAGGCAAACGAAAAAGGCAAACGAAGAAAAGGGGCAAACAAAAAAGGCAAACGAAAAAGGCAAAUAUUUUUGUAAUUUUUGUUUUCCACAAGUGGGGGAGAGGAAAACGAGAGGCAAAAAAGUAAAUGCAAGAGGUGAGUUUGCGACACUUACUUGGAUGAGUUCUUGACUUGAUCCUCCCCGGCAACGGCGCCAGAAAUCCUUCUGCUACUUCUCAAACAACAGCGCCAGAAUUUAACACGUUGACAGAGACUUGCUUGCGUUGGUUUUUUCCCUUGAAGAGGAAAGGAUGAUGCAGCACAUGAGCAGUAAGUAUUUCCCUCAGUUCGAGAAUCAAGGUAUCAAUCCAGUAGGAGAAUCUCGUCAAGUCCAGAGUACCUGCACAAACACAAAAGAGCUUGCACCCAAAGCUAUAAAGGGGUUGUCAAUCCCUUCAAGAUUCAUUGCAAAGUGAGAUCUGAAGGCGGAAAGUGAAACGAAGAAAUAGUGUAAGGCUCAAAAUAUAGUGUGGAGUAGACCCGGGGGCCAUAGUGUUCACUAGAGGCUUCUCUCAAAAUAGCAAGUAUUACGGUGGGUGAACAAAUUACUGUCGAGCAAUUGAUAGAACCGUGCAAAGUCAUGACGAUAUCUAAGGCAAUGAUCAUACAUAUAGGCAUCACGUCCGAGACAAGUAGACCGAUAGUUUCUGCAUCUACUACUAUUACUCCACACAUCGACCGGUAUCGAGCAUGCAUCUAGUGUAUUGAGUUCAUGAAGAACAGAGUAACGCCUUAAGCAAGAUGACAUGAUGUAGAGGGAUAAUCUCAAACCAAUGAUGAAAACCCCAUCUUUUUACCCUUUAUGGCAACAACACGAUGCGUGCCUCGCUACCCCUUUUGUCACUGGGUGAGGUCACCGCACGGUAUGAACCCAAAACCAAGCACUUCUCCCAUUGCAAGAAUAAUAGAUCUAGUUGGCCAAACAAAACCCACAACUCGAAGAGAAUUACAAGGAUAUGAAAUCAUGCAUAAGAGAGAUCAGAAGAAACUCAAAUAAGAUUCAUAGAUAAUCUGAUCAUAAAUCCACAAUUCAUCGCCGGUGUGUUUGUCGAGACUUCAAUACAAAGUUCUCCAUGAUCUUCAUGGAGAUCUAUCCGAUGUAAUCUUCUUUGGCGGUGUGUUUGUCGAGAUCUGAUGAAUUGUGGACUUGUGAUCAGAUUAUCUAUGAUAUAUAUUUGAGUCUUUGCUGAUUUAUUAUAUGCAUGAUGUCACAUCCCUGACACCUUAAGCAAGUUAGUCUUGUGCUCAUGUCUUUUUUGCAUUUGCAUCUAAGAAUUUUCAACAAGAACAAGAAAGUGGCAAAGGCAAAACUCAAAACCCUAGCCACUACUUUAAAUAAAGAAAAUCUCAAACUAGUUAAAAUCAAUGAACCCAAAAUGGCCUCAAGAAAUGUUCAAACUUUCUGAUAAAUCAUGAAAGUAAAUAAGCAUUGGAGAAAACUAUUUUCUUGACACUUUAAGCAUUUUAAAUAAAUGCAAAAAGCCACUGGUUUCAAACUUUAAAGUUGAAAUCAGAAACUAUAAAUUUUCAAAAAUGUUGAAAACUUUGGAAAUGGUUGGGAAUAUUAUAACAAAUAUUCAGGUGUGUUUAAAAUAGUUUUUGCAAUUUGUUUUGGAGCUGAAAUAAAUAGCAAAAUAUUGAAGAAGCUAAAACAGAAACAAAAAUAGAAGGAAAUGGAAAAAAGCUUACCUGUCGCCUAGCCUGGCCCGGCCCAUCUCCCCGAGUCGUCCCCUCCCUCGCGCCAGUAGGAGCAGGAGGUGGCCGCCGCCUCCUCCGGCGCGGCCACGCACCUGUGCGCCUGCCUGGCCGCCGCCUCGCGCUGGCAAGGCCGGGGAUAAGAUCCCCGAGGCCUCCUCUAUCCAUUCCUAGCGAUAGCUCUCUCCCUCCUCCCGGAUCUCUUCCUCCUCCCUGCUGCCGCCAUUGGAGCCGAGCAAAGCUCGAGCUGCCCGUGCCCCUAGCCUUAGCCUCCUCUUGCUGAGCACGCCGUUAGCUCCGCCUCGUCGCGCCGGUCCUCUCUGCAGAAGCCGAAGCUUCCUCGAGCUCUACAUCGCCCCAACACCAUCGUCUUCCACCUCUUGCCACCAGACCUCUCCCGUCGAUUCGCUCCCUUCGGCGCACCCCCGAGCCCCUCAACAACACCAUCGGAACCGCCGUGAGCUCGUCGUCGUUUCCCCUCUUGCCCCAUGCUCUUACGUGCAUCGUAGCCCCGUUCCCCACCAAGGCCGAGAGCUCCUCGCCGCCGGUCAUGUCGUCGCCGUCGCUGUGGUGUCUGAUCCACACGCUCGAGCUAGGGUUCGAGCUCCUGGAGCCUCCAGGAGCGUGAUGAGCCCCUCAGCUGCCCUCCCCGUGCCCUAGAGCCAUCGCUCGUAGAAGGCCGAGCUUCGGCUGCCGCUUCGGCUCGUCGCCGGCGCCUCUUCCGGUGACCCUAGCCACCCCUGAUGCCCCUGCCAGAUCGGCCACUUCGCCAGCGUUCCGUAGCUGCAAACCGCGUUCGAUUUGGUGCUGUGCAGCGCCGUUUAGGCCGUCUCCGGCGAGCCCUCCGCCGCGGGCUUGGUCGCCGGCGACCACCCUCCGGUGGGCGUCGACGUGCCCGACCAUUAGGGCAUAAUUGCCCUCCCCUCAGUCGCUGCCAGAGGGCCCCACGCCUGGUCAAACCCCAAUUAGGGGCUGGUCAGCGCAGGGUUAGCCCCUGGGUCACUGACCAGUGGGGCCCCCCUGUCAGGUUUGACCUGAACAGGUCGGCUGACCUGCUGACGUCAGUCUCAUGCAAUAAAAAGAAUUUCCAGUAUAGAAAUAAUUCGAGUAAAUUGCUAAAACUUGUAAAAAUCAUAGAAAUUAAUCUGUAACUCCAAUGAAAAUAAUUUAUAUAUGAAAAAGUAUCAGAAAAAUUCAAGGAUUCUGAUUAUGCUAUUUUCAAUCAUGUUUGAAAAAGUUACAGAACCCUAAAAUGUGGAAUAAGUAAUAAUUCAAUUCUUAUAAUUACUUUUUAAAUGGAAUUUGGAAAAUUAUUCAAAUUUCAUUAUGAAUGCAAUGAUCACACACUGUCCUAGUUACAAAUCAGUACCAUAACAUGACAUCUCAUGCAUGCUAACAUCAAGUUGAUCUGAGCAUCAGGUCGAAUCAAUUAAACCGGUAUCCGAGAAUACCCCGUUUGAAUUGCUAUUCGAAUGUGAUUCAAAUCAACUCUAAACCUAAUACAUGUUGAAUAUUAUAACUUAUCACUUUGCAUUCUCAUGCAUGCUAACAUCAAGUUGAUCUGAGCAUCAGGUCGAAUCAAUUAAACCGGUAUCCGAGAAUACCCCGUUUGAAUUGCUAUUCGAAUGUGAUUCAAAUCAACUCUAAACCUAAUACAUGUUGAAAAUAAUAACUUAUCACUUUGCAUUCUCAUGCCAUGCUCAUGCAUCUUUUUGAUUGCAUAUGAUUGUUAUUGAAUGUUACCAUUCUUUUCGGUAGGCUCCGCACCCCCGGAUUCCACCGAAUAUCCGUCUGACGGAUAUUGUUCCUCCUCUGAGCAACAAGGCAAGCAACCCUUUUGAUCAUCCCGAUAAUUCCCAUGUUCUUGCUCCUGCACUUAUUUAUUGCAUUAGGAUCAAAUGCUUUAACUGCUUUUGCCACGUUAGUUGAACCCACUUCCUUUGCAUGACCUAACCUUGUCACAGUAAAUAGCCGAACCUUGCAACCUAGCAUACCUGAUAGUUGCUUGAGCUAUGAUGUGCCUUAUCCUGCUAUGCAUGCUUUACUUAGAGUUGUGUAUGGUCUGUCAUCUGGGAGAUGAACAGAAUUGUGAGAAUGCGUUCGGUGAGCAAAGGUUGUGUGUUGAACUUAUUUGGUAAAGGUANCGUUAGUUGAACCCACUUCCUUUGCAUGACCUAACCUUGUCACAGUAAAUAGCCGAACCUUGCAACCUAGCAUACCUGAUAGUUGCUUGAGCUAUGAUGUGCCUUAUCCUGCUAUGCAUGCUCUUCUUAGAGUUGUGUAUGGUCUGUCAUCUUGGAGAUGAACAGAAUUGUGAGAAUGCGUUCGGUGAGCAAAGGUUGUGUGUUGAACUUAUUUGGUAAAGGUACCAGUGAAAGGCUGUGUAGGAGUACAUGGCGGGUUGUUUCAUUGGAACCGUCCAUAGGAACUGAGUUCCGUGUAUGUAAUCCAAGACUAGAUACUACCACAUGCUGGGCCCUGAAAUAUGACCCCGCUCGGCCUAUUAAUCGUGUAGUACUCGGUCCAGGAGUUGCAAGUAGUUUCUGGUGUUUAUAGUAAUGCUGGAGGCCGUGCAUGGUGCUGACCUGAGAGGUGGGGUGUGAUGCGGUAGGCAGUGGCACGGUGUACCAAGUGGGACCCGGAUGGUGGGCUUGGGAACCCUGCGCACAUCGUUCGAGGCCGUGGCGGAAACGCCGGCCGUACUUCCGUACGGGUUACUCUCAGAUAGGCGAUAAACCUGGACUAGGUACUAGUGUGGUUAACGGUCGUGGCCGACUCCCUCGCUGGGCUUCCGCUUGAAGGUUGCCGAGGUGCAUGACGUGCACAUGGCGAUAAGUGGCGAGAGCGUGUGUGACGAAGUACACCCCCGUAGGGUUAUGAUCUAUUCGAAUAGCCGCGUCCGCGGAUAUGGACUACUUGGAGACAUAUGUUGUUCAUAGAUAACUUCAAUGGCUACUCAUAAAAUUGCCAAGAUAAGCGUGAGUGUGGUGGACGGCAUUUCGGUAGGGAGACGGAAUGAUUCCACGAUAGUGUAUUGUUGUGGUGUUAGUGGACUCGUGUGCGAGAAAUGAAGUUGUCAAAAUUAUUUAAAAAUGCAAGUUGUCUAGCCACGAGUCAAAUGCUGGCUUUCCGCAUGAAACCCCACAAUACCUUUUGAUACCUUGCAUGAGUAGUUAGUUAUCCUAAAGUCUUGCUGAGUACCUUCGUACUCAUGUUUGCUUAAUACAUGUUGCAGAGGUCNUGUGAUGCGGUAGGCAGUGGCACGGUGUACCAAGUGGAACCCGGAUGGUGGGCUUGGGAACCCUGCGCACAUCGUUAGAGGCCGUGGCGGAAACCCCGGCCGAACUUCCGUACGGGUUACUCUCAGAUAGGCGAUAAACCUGGACUAGGUACUAGUGUGGUUAACGGUCGUGGCCGACUCCCUCGCUGGGCUUCCGCUUGAAGGUUGCAGAGGUGCAUGACGUGCACAUGGCGAUAAGUGGCGAGAGCGUGUGUGACGAAGUACACCCCAGAAGGGUUAUGAUCUAUUCCAAUAGCCGCGUCCGCGGAUAUGGACUACUUGGAGACAUAUGUUGUUCAUAGAUAACUUCAAUGGCUACUCAUAAAAUUGCCAAGAUAAGCGUGAGUGUCGUGGACGGCAUUUCCGUACGGAGACGGAAUGAUUCCACGAUAGUGUAUUGUUGUGGUGUUAGUGGACUCGUGUGCGAGAAAUCAAGUUGUCAAAAUUAUUUAAAAAUGCAAGUUGUCUAGCCACGAGUCAAAUGCUGGCUUUCCGCAUGAAACCCCACAAUACCUUUUGAUACCUUGCAUGAGUAGUUAGUUAUCCUAAAGUCUUGCUGAGUACCUUCGUACUCAUGUUUGCUUAAUACAUGUUGCAGAGGUAGCUAAUGACCCUAAUGGAGGGUUCUUCGUAGACAUCGACGACGACGAGUAGCUGGUGUCCCAGCUACGAUCUGGCCCUACGUUGGAUCUGUAGUAUAGUCAGGCCAUGUGCCUUCUAGUUGCCCUGUCUGUACUCAGACAGUUUAAACUCUUCCGCUGGCUUGUAACUGAAUGACUGCUAUUAUGGGUCGUGAGACCCUUAAUGUGUAAUAUUAUGUGUGUGGCUCUUCCGAGCCUCCUNUAUGUGUGUGGCUCUUCCGAGCCUCCUAAAUAAAGCUUGUAUGUUUAUGGUUAUGUUGUGAUGCCAUCGAUGUAUCUAUACAUAUCGGUAUGCCAUGCGUACGUGUGUCGUACUUGAUAUGUAUGGGGUUCGAUUACCUAGUCGUGAACUUUAGUAGCACUCCUUACGAGGAAAUGCCCCUUUGUGAUCCAAUGAGCCUUGGUAGUUCGCUACUGCUCCGGACACAUUGGUUGACCGGCAUGUGUCCUUCUUAGCUGUUGUGUCUGUCCUCUUUGGGGAAAUGUCACGCGAUGUAAUGGAGUCCUUGUAGCUUGCUACGACUCGUCUACAUUCGCUGAUGACCGACACCUGCUUUGUUGGGUCAUGUAUGCCUGUCCUUGUGCGGUACUGCCACUUUGGUUUAUGACUAGACAUGUCGAUCCGGGUCCUUUGACAUGGGAAUGCUAGCGACACUAUUGCAUACGUGAGUCAAAAUACGCAAUUGGUCCCGGCUAAGGUAAGGCUGCAGCCGAGGAGUUAACCGUGCGUGAGACCGCAAAGGGAUGCGAUGUGUUACAUGCUAGAUUCCUAUGGCUUAGGAUCGGGGUCCCGACAGCGUUGGUAUCAGAGCCUGACUGACUGUAGGAUUACUAAGCCAAACUGGUCGAAGUUGAGUCUAGAAUUGCUUUAGUUAUAUAUAAGGGAAUUGUUUGUGGAAGGGAACGUAAGACUCUUGUUCUCUUGUCAAGUUAUUCUAUUCUGGUCAUCCUCGUCUCUCUGCGGGAACUAAGGACUUGGUUACUCAUCUUCUUCUAGGCUCGUGUUCUGAUCGGUAGAUUAUAGGACUACGGGUCAAGAGACAUUGGGUUUCUUCUAUUCCUAGGAAAAAGGAAGUAAGUUGAUGAUCAGAGAGUUGAACUUGAUAGUUGAGUGGUUACGCUAUUCCAUUUUGGGUUGUCUCAAAAUUUGUUUUGAGCAUUUACAGCCGUUAUGCUGCCCAAUUUUUCAUUCGGAGCUCUAAUGCUUUUGCAUUACUCUCUAUUUACAGAUGCCUGGCCGUCCUUCUCGUCAGGUGGUACGUCUGACCAGGUGCAUUGAUGUGCCGGGUCAUACGGCCAUGCUGGUCAGGGUGAUGUCGGUGUGCGGUUACCGCUGGUACCCCGAGUACACAGUGGAGGAACAGUACCGAGACUUCAACCAGAGCCAGUACAUCUGCACUGUUAGGGUAUUUCCAGACUACCCUGGAGCUGAGAAGCCAAUCCAUUGGUCCUAUGGGUUGGGGGUCACCGUUGACAUGGCAGUACAGGAUGCUGCCUAUUCAAUGCUGACCAUUAUGAGAGCGAGACAUGCACUGCUGCAGAAUUCAGAGUUCUGCUAUGUUCCGGCCUCUCAGCCUGGUGAAGAGGGAUACCUCAGUGGGGGUAUUUUGAUUCUCCUAUGGAGGAUCCACUACUGCAGUCCACUGUUGAGAUGCUAGAGAACAGAGACAGGGAUGCUCAUGCUCUCCGCAUGGAGCUUUAUGCUACCCGUGCCCGUCUGUGGACAGCUUUGACGCAGCUGGCACCGGUAGUCCAGACAGGGUAUGGAGAGAUGGAGAUGCUGAACCCUGUUAGGACCCAUCUUCCGGCCCACGUUGACUGGCCAGCUAUAGGAGGAGUCACACCUCUUCGGGGACCCCUCUUACCACCAGUCAGGGGACCAAGGCCACAUCCGUGUCCUUAUGGAUCCCAGGGAUCUCAGGCUAGAGUCUUUCCUGAUCCGCAGGAUGAGCUUCCAGGCCAUGGAGGUAAUCUCUAUGAGAUGUUCUAUGCGGAUGCCUGAGCUGUGAGCGGAAGGAUAGUAUGGUAGUAGUCGUACGUUCACAGUCCUGCGUGACUUGUGAAGUAUGUAUGUAAUGUGAAAUGAAUUCCGGAGGCCUAGAUAAAUAAUGUAUAGGCAGCCUGUGAGCCUCUGAUGAGUAGUUUCACAAUUUCAGUAGUUUGCUCUUCGGUUAAGGGUGUACUGAACUAUGUAAGGGUGUGUAUGAACCAUGGUGUAUAUAUAGCAGUUGCUUGUUACCAUGCUGUUCGGAUAUUCAUUUCCGCAUUCCGUGUGUUCAGUACAUUCUUAAUCCAUAGCUAGUAUUGAUAUGAUGUUGGUCUAAGCUAUGAGUUUGUUUGUCAGGAUGGUGUUCACCAGGUUGAACCGUGCCCCUGCUCAUGAGCAAGGUGAGGGUAGUCAAGCGUCGCAGGAAGACCUGCCUCACCCGCCUUCUCUGGUGGAAGUGAUGCUUGAGGCAGAAAGAAACAAAAGGGAGACCAAUCGAAUGCUAGAGCGUAUUGAGCAGAAUACGGCGGGCUCGACAGCCUAGGAAUGCCGUAGUGUCCCUCAAUGACUUUGCGAAGCUGAAUCCUCCAAAGUUUCAUCAUUCCGCCGAUCCCCUCGACGCUGAUUACUGGCUGUGCAGCAUCUCACGCAAGAUUCGCUCUGCGAAUGUGUCUGAGGCCGACAAGGUGACCUUUGCGGCGUAUUUCCUGGAAGGACCCGCCAAUCUGUGGUGGGAGAAUUUUGAAGCUAUGCGUCCCGCUGAACCAGUGGCCACAUGGGCAGACUUCAGUGCAGCUUUUCGUCUGCACCAUAUUCCAGAGGGCCUGAUGGACAGAAAGAGAGAGGAGUUCUGUGCCUUCACUCAGGGCAAGUUGUCCGUGGAUGCCUAUAGCCGCGAGUUCGGUAACCUCGCCCGCUAUGCAACAGAGGAGGUGUCUACCGACGCCAAGAAGCAAGCAAGGUUUCGUAAGGGUCUGAGCCCUGAGCUCCGUCGUGAUCUGCGCCUCCAUGAGUGUGCAAGUUUUCAAGCCCUAGUCAACAAAGCGAUCAGUGCCGAGACUGGUUAUACUGACUUCGAAGCCACAAGGAAGCAUUCCCGUGACUUUGGCUCGUCUUCUGGUUCCGCGUUUCCAAAACGCAGGCUGUGGGUUCCAAACAGUUCUCUGCCGCCAAGAUACACUCCGAGGCCAUCCUACGUGGCGCCUCAGACGAAUCAGGCCAACCCUCCAGCAAAAGCUUAUGGUGGUCCAGCUAGCAAUGCUGCACCACGUGCCAACCAGGUGAUAUGCUACAAGUGUGGAGAACCAGGGCACUAUUCCCGUGAGUGUCCUCAGAAUGUGGGUGCCAAGCAACCCGGAAAGUCCGUCGGGCAAGCCAAGUCGGGCAAAGCUUAUUAUGUGAAGCCAACUCCUGCACGUGGCCGUGUGAACUAUGUAUCAGCAGAAGAAGCUGCAGAGGAUCCCGACGUCAUGCUGGGUACGCUUCUUGUUAAUCAUCACCCAGCGUCCGUUCUCUUUGACACUGGGUCUUCUCAUUCCUUCAUUUCAGAAAGUUAUGCACAGUUGCAUAACAUGUCUUUUUGUGAUAUGCCAACUCCAUUGGUUGUCCAAACCCCUGGUAGUAAAUGGCAAACCUCUAGGAUAACCUAUGACAAUGAAAUUCUAGUAGAUAGGCUAGUUUUUCUAGCCUCAUUGAUAGCAUUGAAAUCUUCGGAUAUUAAUAUCAUCUUGGGCAUGGACUGGAUGUCAGCUCACUAUGCCAGGAUUGAUACUCAUUCUAGAAAUGUCGAGCUUACCCAUCCCUCGGGUGAGAUAGUAAAUGUCUCUACUCGAGUUGCCAAACGCCAACUCUAUUCCCUAAAUGCCAACCCUCUUCCGGAACUUGAAGACAUUCCGGUAGUCCGUGACUUCCCGGAUGUUUUUCCAGAGGAACUGCUAGGAAUUCCACCUGACAGAGAUGUAGAGUUUGUAAUAGAUCUUGUUCCGGGAACUGUCCCAAUAGCUAGAAGACCUUAUAAGAUGGCACCCCUGGAGCUAGCCGAACUUAAAAAGCAACUAGAUGAGGCCUUGAACAAGGGUUUCAUUCGUCCUAGCUCUUCUCCUUGGGCUUGCCCCGUCCUCUUCGUCAAGAAGAAAGACGGAACGGAUCGGAUGGUUGUAGAUUACCGACCAGUUAAUCUGGUCACCAUAAAGAACAAGUAUCCGCUCCCCAGGAUCAACGAUCUGUAUGAUCAGCUCGCUGGAUCCUCAGUCUUCUCCAAAAUGGAUUUGAGGUUGGGAUACCAUCAAAUCAAGAUUAAGAACGGGGACAUUCCAAAAACGGCUUUUGUUACUCGUUAUGGCCAAUAUGAGUACACCGUUAUGUCCUUCGGUUUAACCAAUGCCCCAGCCACCUUCUCUCGUCUGAUGAAUUCAAUCUUCAUGGAGUAUUUGGAUAAAUUCGUCGUAGUAUACCUCGAUGAUAUUCUCAUCUACUCGAAGAAUGAACAAGAACAUGCCGAGCAUCUAAGGCUGGUAUUGAUGAAACUUCGAGAGCAUCGCCUUUAUGCCAAAUUUUCAAAAUGUGAAUUUUGGUUACCAGAAGUGACCUAUCUAGGCCACGUAAUCUCUGGUAAGGGUAUUGCUGUCAAUCCCGAGAGAGUUCAAGCUGUCCUUGAUUGGACUCAACCUGAAUCGGUUAAGCAAGUUAGGAGUUUUCUUGGUCUAGCGAGCUAUUGUCGCCGCUUUGUCGAGAAUUUCUCCAAGGUUGCAAAGCCUCUAACUGAACUCCUCAAGAAGGAUAAAAAGUUCGAGUGGACACCACAGUGUGAGCAUAGUUUUCAGGAACUGAAAAGACGCCUGACUUCCGCACCUGUGUUGCUACCACCAGAUUUUUCUAAGGACUUUGUUAUCUAUUGCGACGCCUCGCGACAAGGAUUAGGUUGCAUUCUCAUGCAAGAUCGUCAUGUGAUCGCAUACGCAUCUCGACAGUUGUGUCCACAUGAGGAUAAUUAUCCCACACAUGACCUUGAGCUUGCAGCAGUGGUCCAUGCACUAAAAACCUGGCGACAUUACCUUCUGGGUAAUCAUUGCGAAAUAUUCCUGAUCACCAAAGUCUGAAAUAUAUUUUCACCCAGCCGGAUUUGAAUCUCAGGCAAAGACGGUGGGUUGAGUUGAUCUCGGAUUACGACUUAGGGAUAACUUACACCCCGGGGAAGGCCAAUGUUAUGGCCGAUGCGCUAAGUCGUAAAUCUUAUUGUAACAAUUUGAUGCUACAACAAGGUCAACCACAUCUCCAUGAGGACUUUUGGAAGUUGAAUCUUCAUAUUGUUCCUCAAGGAUUCCUUUCUACCCUGGUGGCGAAGCCUACUCUAAAGGAUCAAAUUAUAGCUGGCCAAAAGCGUGACAAGGGUAUAUCACGGAUCAAGGAGAAUAUUUUUAGCGGAAACGCUAAAGAAUUUUCCAUGAACGAUCAAGGUGUUGUGUUCUUCCAGAAUCGUUUAGUGGUUCCUAAGAACCCACAUCUAAGGCAGUUAAUCCUUAAGGAGGCUCAUGAUUCACCUCUCACCAUUCAUCCCGGUAGUACUAAGAUGUAUCAGGACCUACGCCAGAGGUUCUGGUGGACUAGGAUGAAGAGAGAAAUUGCUGAGUUCGUUGCUAACUGCAACGUUUGUCGUCGAGUUAAGGCAGAACAUCAAAGGCCUGCUGGCACCCUUUAGCCUUUAGCUAUUCCUGAAUGGAAAUGGGAUAAAGUUAGCAUAGAUUUCAUUACCGGAUUUCCCAAGACCAAGAAAGGAAAUAAUGCUAUCUUUGUGGUCAUUGACCGUCUUUCCAAAGUGGCUCAUUUUCUUCCGGUUUGUGAGAGUAUAACAGCUAGCCAACUAGCAGAGUUAUAUAUCUCCGGAAUAGUGUCUCUUCAUGGUGUUCCACUGGAGAUUAACUCGGACCGCGGAAGUAUAUUUACUUCUCGCUUCUGGGAAAGUUUUCAGAAUGCCAUGGGGACUCACCUAUCUUUUAGCACUGCUUUCCAUCCUCAAUCAAGUGGUCAAGUAGAAAGAGUGAAUCAAAUCCUAGAAGAUAUGCUCCGAGCUUGUGUUAUUUCGUUCGGUAUGAAUUGGGAGAAGUGUCUUCCAUUCGUCGAAUUCGCUUAUAACAAUAGUUACCAAUCAAGCUUGGGCAAAGCCCCUUUUGAAGUUCUCUAUGGACGAAGAUGUCGAACACCUCUUAAUUGGUCAGAAACCGGAGAAAGGCAACUCUUUGGUCCGGAUAUGAUCCAGGAUGCAGAAGAGCAGGUUCGCAUUAUUCGUGAAAAGUUGAAAACAGCCCAGUCUCGUCAAAAGAGCCAAUAUGAUCGUCAUCAUAAGGCUGUGACCUUUGAAGUUGACGAGAAUGCUUACCUUCGGGUUACACCUUUGAAGGGUACCCAUCGAUUCGGUAUCAAGGGCAAAUUGGCUCCUCGUUACAUUUGUCCUUUUCGCAUUCUUGCCAAACGAGGAGAAGUUGCCUACCAGUUGGAACUUCCUCCGCAUCUUUCCAAGGUUCAUGAUGUUUUCCACGUCUCGCAACUCAGGCGUUGCUUUUCGGAUCCUAUCCGUGAAGUGGACCACGAAACGCUUGAUCUCCAGGAUAACCUUUCAUAUCGAGAAUACCCCGUGCGUAUUCUUGAUCAAGCUGAGCGUACCACUCGACGUCGAAACCUCAAGUUUCUUAAAGUUCAAUGGUCAAAUCAUUCUGAAAAGGAGGCAACUUGGGAAAGAGAGGAUCGCCUCCGACUUGAGUAUCCUGCGUUAUUCCCGACGACUUCUAAAUCUCGGGACGAGAUUCUUUUGAGUGGGGGUGAGUUGUCACAUCCCUGACACCUGAAGCAAGUUAGUCUUGUGCUCAUGUUUUUUUUUUGCAUUUGCAUCUAAGAAUUUUCAACAAGAACAAGAAAGUGGCAAAGGAAAAACUCAAAACCCUAGCCACUACUUUAAAUAAAGAAAAUCUCAAUCUAGUUAAAAUCAAUGAACCCAAAAUGGCCUCAAGAAAUGUUCAAACUUUCUGAUAAAUCAUGAAAGUAAAUAAGCAUUGGAGAAAACUAUUUUCUUGACACUUUAAGCAUUUUAAAUAAAUGCAAAAAGCCACUGGUUUCAAACUUUAAAGUUGAAAUCAGAAACUAUAAAUUUUCAAAAAUGUUGAAAACUUUGGAAAUGGUUGGGAAUAUUAUAACAAAUAUUCAGGUGUGUUUAAAAUAGUUUUUGCAAUUUGUUUUGGAGCUGAAAUAAAUAGCNNNNNNNNNNNNNNNNNNNNNNNNNNNNNNNNNNNNNNNNNNNNNNNNNNNNNNNNNNNNNNNNNNNNNNNNNNNNNNNNNNNNNNNNNNNNNNNNNNNNCCUGGACUAGGUACUAGUGUGGUUAACGGUCGUGGCCGACUCCCUCGCUGGGCUUCCGCUUGAAGGUUGCUGAGGUGCAUGACGUGCACAUGGCGAUAAGUGGCGAGAGCGUGUGUGACGAAGUACACCCCUGCAGGGUUAUGAUCUAUUCAAAUAGCCGCGUCCGCGGAUAUGGACUACUUGGAGACAUAUGUUGUUCAUAGAUAACUUCAAUGGCUACUCAUAAAAUUGCCAAGAUAAGCGUGAGUGUAGUGGACGGCAUUUCAGUAAGGAGACGGAAUGAUUCCACGAUAGUGUAUUGUUGUGGUGUUAGUGGACUCGUGUGCGAGAAAUUAAGUUGUCAAAAUUAUUUAAAAAUGCAAGUUGUCUAGCCACGAGUCAAAUGCUGGCUUUCCGCAUGAAACCCCACAAUACCUUUUGAUACCUUGCAUGAGUAGUUAGUUAUCCUAAAGUCUUGCUGAGUACCUUCGUACUCAUGUUUGCUUAAUACAUGUUGCAGAGGUNNNNNNNNNNNNNNNNNNNNNNNNNNNNNNNNNNNNNNNNNNNNNNNNNNNNNNNNNNNNNNNNNNNNNNNNNNNNNNNNNNNNNNNNNNNNNNNNNNNNGCACCAUGCACGGCCUCCAGCAUUACUAUAAACACCAGAAACUACUUGCAACUCCUGGACCGAGUACUACGCGAUUAAUAGGCCGAGCGGGGUCAUAUUUCAGGGCCCAGCAUGUGAUAGUAUCUAGUCUUCGAUUACAUACACGGAACUCGGUUCCUAUGGACGGUUCCAAUGAAACAACCCGCCAUGUACUCCUACACAGCCUUUCACUGGUACCUUUACCAAAUAAGUUCAACACACAACCUUUGCUCACCGAACGCAUUCUCACAAUUCUGUUCAUCUCCAAGAUGACAGACCAUACACAACUCUAAGAAGAGCAUGCAUAGCAGGAUAAGGCACAUCAUAGCUCAAGCAACUAUCAGGUAUGCUAGGUUGCAAGGUUCGGCUAUUUACUGUGACAAGGUUAGGUCAUGCAAAGGAAGUGGGUUCAACUAACGUGGCAAAAGCAGUUAAAGCAUUUGAUCCUAAUGCAAUAAAUAAGUGCAGGAGCAAGAACAUGGGAAUUAUCNNNNNNNNNNNNNNNNNNNNNNNNNNNNNNNNNNNNNNNNNNNNNNNNNNNNNNNNNNNNNNNNNNNNNNNNNNNNNNNNNNNNNNNNNNNNNNNNNNNNGAGUUGCAAGUAGUUUCUGGUGUUUAUAGUAAUGCUGGAGGCCGUGCAUGGUGCUGACCUGAGAGGUGGGUUGUGAUGCGGUAGGCAGUGGCACGGUGUACCAAGUGGCACCCGGAUGGUGGGCUUGGGAACCCUGCCCACAUCGUUUGAGGCCGUGGCGGAAACUCCGGCCGGACUUCCGUACGGGUUACUCUCAGAUAGGCGAUAAACCUGGACUAGGUACUAGUGUGGUUAACGGUCGUGGCCGACUCCCUCGCUGGGCUUCCGCUUGAAGGUUGCAGAGGUGCAUGACGUGCACAUGGCGAUAAGUGGCGAGAGCGUGUGUGACGAAGUACACCCCAGAAGGGUUAUGAUCUAUUCCAAUAGCCGCGUCCGCGGAUAUGGACUACUUGGAGACAUAUGUUGUUCAUAGAUAACUUCAAUGGCUACUCAUAAAAUUGCCAAGAUAAGCGUGAGUGUUGUGGACGGCAUUUCUGUAUGGAGACGGAAUGAUUCCACGAUAGUGUAUUGUUGUGGUGUUAGUGGACUCGUGUGCGAGAAAUAAAGUUGUCAAAAUUAUUUAAAAAUGCAAGUUGUCUAGCCACGAGUCAAAUGCUGGCUUUCCGCAUGAAACCCCACAAUACCUUUUGAUACCUUGCAUGAGUAGUUAGUUAUCCUAAAGUCUUGCUGAGUACCUUCGUACUCAUGUUUGCUUAAUACAUGUUGCAGAGGUAGCUAAUGACCCUAAUGGAGGGUUCUUCGUAGACAUCGACGACGACGAGUAGCUGGUGUCCCAGCUACGAUCUGGCCCUACGUUGGAUCUGUAGUAUAGUCAGGCCAUGUGCCUUCUAGUUUCCCUGUGUGUACUCAGACAUUUUAAACUCUUCCGCUGGCUUGUAACUGAAUGACUGCUAUUAUGGGUCGUGAGACCCUUAAUGUGUAAUANNNNNNNNNNNNNNNNNNNNNNNNNNNNNNNNNNNNNNNNNNNNNNNNNNNNNNNNNNNNNNNNNNNNNNNNNNNNNNNNNNNNNNNNNNNNNNNNNNNNGUUCCUAUGGACGGUUCCAAUGAAACAACCCGCCAUGUACUCCUACACAGCCUUUCACUGGUACCUUUACCAAAUAAGUUCAACACACAACCUUUGCUCACCGAACGCAUUCUCACAAUUCUGUUCAUCUCCUAGAUGACAGACCAUACACAACUCUAAGCAUAGCAUGCAUAGCAGGAUAAGGCACAUCAUAGCUCAAGCAACUAUCAGGUAUGCUAGGUUGCAAGGUUCGGCUAUUUACUGUGACAAGGUUAGGUCAUGCAAAGGAAGUGGGUUCAACUAACGUGGCAAAAGCAGUUAAAGCAUUUGAUCCUAAUGCAAUAAAUAAGUGCAGGAGCAAGAACAUGGGAAUUAUCAGGAUGAUCAAAAGGGUUGCUUGCCUUGUUGCUCAGAGGAGGAACGAUAUCCGUCAGACGAAUAUUCGGUGGAAUCCGGGGGUGUGGAGCCUACCGAAAAGAAUGGUAACAUUCAAUAACAAUCAUAUGCAAUCAAAAUGAUGCAUGAGCAUGGCAUGAGAAUGCAAAGUGAUAAGUUAUUAUUUUCAACAUGUAUUAGGUUUAGAGUUGAUUUGAAUCACAUUCGAAUAGCAAUUCAAACGGGGUAUUCUCGGAUACCGGUUUAAUUGAUUCGACCUGAUGCUCAGAUCAACUUGAUGUUAGCAUGCAUGAGAAUGCAAAGUGAUAAGUUAUUAUUUUCAACAUGUAUUUGGUUUAGAGUUGAUUUGAAUCACAUUCGAAUAGCAAUUCAAAUGGGGUAUUCUCGGAUACCGGUUUAAUUGAUUCGACCUGAUGCUCAGAUCAACCUGAUGUUAGCAUGCAUGAGANNNNNNNNNNNNNNNNNNNNNNNNNNNNNNNNNNNNNNNNNNNNNNNNNNNNNNNNNNNNNNNNNNNNNNNNNNNNNNNNNNNNNNNNNNNNNNNNNNNNUUCGUAUGAACCGGACAUGGCUGGUCCAGGAUGGGGUUAUUGAACUGCUUCUUCUUGGGGGUGAACUGAGCCUUCCCUUUGCCCUUGAACUUGGCAUUGGUUACGGCUGCAGCUUCUGCUUGCGGAGCAGUCGGAGCUUUCUGCUUCUGCUUCCGAGUGUUGCCCCCAUCUCCAUCAGCGACUGUUUUGUGCUUGCCGCUUCGGAUGCGGUCCUCUUCUUCGCCAUUUGCAUAGCGUGUUGUUAUCUCCAUCAUCUUGCUCAUGGAGAUGUCGCCUAUUCGGCCGAACUUCAGGUACAGAUCCCUGUACCACACGCCUGCCUUGAAGGCGCAGACUGCUUGAUGCUCGAUGACGUUCUCCACCGUGUGGUAGAGAGUUGUCCAACGCUUAAUGAAAUCACGCAGGGGCUCAUUCUGCUUCUAGACGCAGUGCUGGAGCUCCACGAGGCCAGCAGGGCGCUUGCACAUCCCUUCGAAGGUCCUGAUGAACACUCGGGCCAGAUCUGCCCAGCUGUAGAUGCUUGAGGGGGCCAACUGAUUCAGCCAUGCCCGCGCCGAGCCGUCGAGCAUCAGAGGGAGGUGCUUCAUGGCGACAUGGUCGUCUCCUCCUCCGAUCUGGACUGCUACUCGGUAAUCGUCCAGCCACGUUUCUGGCUUGGACUCCCCUGUAAACUUGCUAAUUCCCGUCGCCAAUCGGAAGUUGGGAGGGAUGUCAGCCGAACGGAUGGCUCGACUGAAACACUCGGGACCAGAAACAAUGGUCCUGCUUCCACUCGGACGGUCAAUAUCGUGACCAUCGCGGUGGGCUCGGCCCCUGUCGACCCUCCGCUGGGUGAUAUGCCCUCUUGCGUCGGGCCUUGGGUCGUAAGUGCCGCUGACUGAACGCCGAUCAUCAUGAUGUUGGGGCCCGUAGGGCCCACCCCGCGGACGGGUGCGUGAACGGCGACGAUCUUCGGGAUUUAUGGAACGACUGCCUCCUCUGUGUCGCUGAUGAGAACCAGGGCUAUGAACUGACCGAUGCGUAUUCGCAUGGACAGAACUAUUGUUGAUCCUGUUGUAUGACUGGGAGACCGCCGAAUUUUGCUGCUGCGCCGUGUGCAACAGGGCGCGGAUUUGUUCGAUUCCCCUGCCAGCCUCUGAAUCAGUCGACUGAAGGGAAUCGGCUAUCUUGGCAGCCGCGGCCAAGUUGAGGAGAGGUGUGGGAACAGCUCCACGUUGCUCCGUCGAGUAUGCCGACUAGCAGAACGGCGAGGCGGACGACGCGCGCCGGACGUUUCGCCGAUCUCGUGAUCGUUCCGGCCAGCUUGACGGGGAUCUUCAUGGGAAUUGGCCAUGUGUACUUCUGCUGCAGGCCCGCGACCCACGUACUCAGAAGGAAACUCAGUCGGAACCGAGCCCGAGCGCUGCGACGGCGGGGCAACCACAACUGACUCUAGAACCGCCACUUGUGAAGACGCGUUCUGGCGCGCCUGGGCAUGUUGCAGCCAACGCUGGAGCCACGGACGGCGGGACCGCUUGUUGCGGCGCGUGACGGCGGUGUAGGUCGACACCGGAGCCGACUGCUGGAGAAGAAGAAUGCCGCGGGCGCCGGCACGGAAGUGCGUAGCCCUGCGACGGGGAAGCGCCUCGACGUCGAGAGGAGCAUCCCGAAGCCACACCGAAUCGUUGACGAUGAAGGAGAGAGCGCUGAAGAAGAUCUGAUGACCCAUGCUCGAAUCUCCACCGGACGACAUGACGAAAGGAAGUAGUCGCAAACUCGUCGGAAGUCGCUUAGACGCCUGCCCCAAGGUGGGCGCCAACUGUCGUGGGUAUAAGCCUGACAGUAGAUGUGUAGGGUACGAAAAGGAUGGGUAGAGUCCCAGCUAUGGCGAGGUUGUAUGAGUUCAGGCCCCUCUACGGUGGAGGUAAUAGCCCUACGUCUCAGUGCUCUGGGAGCUUGUUGUCGAGUGGAAUAUGGAAUACAAUGAUUUGCUAACCCCUGCACCAGCGGGGGAGGGUGGCUUAUAUAGAGUGCGCUGCCCUCCACAACGGUUCCGGUACAGGGGUGGAGUAGUGGCGAUUGAAUGCGUACGUUACAGAUAACGUACGUCCUAAAUGCUAAUAAAUGCACCGGGAAACGUACGACCGUUUCCCUCCAGGGGGGUUACGAUGUUCCGAGUGGCAUCCAGUCGGUUAGUUGGAUGUUCUCCGAAUGCUAGUCUCCGACUGGAUGGUCGAGGACCUAUUACCGACUGGACGAUGGAGACUCCUUAAUUCAGUCGGAACUGACUAAGGGCCUUGUCCCUUAUGAGGGGUAGUCCUUGGGUAGGACUUAUAGGGCAGGCCUAUGACCCUACCCUAGGACUAUAACCCCAUCAUACUACGUUCCCCAACAGUUAGGGCGCAAAGGGGUGGCGUCGGUGCGGCCCAGAUCUGCCGAGGGCGCGUGGCACCGAUCUGGUGCAGGAGCGCAGGAGCGGCGUGAGUGCAUGGGGGUAGGGGAAGCUUGUGCUCGUGUGGCGGUCUCCGCUGCUGGGCGGCUGCUCUGGCUCCCGGUGUGCGUGGUGGAGGGGCUCGAGUAUGAGGCACGACGGCUUGGCUGGCCUGUAUGGCGCUUGGGCCACGACUUUUGCCGCUAGGCGCGCGGCCGAUGUGUGUCUGCGUGGUCUGGCAUCACGUGGAUGCCCUUCGAGGUGCGCGGAUUGAAUGCCCACGAUGACGAGGAAGUGCGCUCUGGCGAUGCGUCAUGCGGAUCUAGUCUCCGGCCGUCGAUGGUCUCUGCGAGGUACAGUUGGCUGCGACGGGUCUUGGUGCUUCUUCGUCGAUGGGCAACUUCGACGGUGGUGAUGUUUGGUGGGCUUGCUCACGCCAAUGCAGGAUGAUGCACGGCUUAGGUGGUGUGGAGCUUGGUAAACACCAUAUCUUGGCCUCGUGCCGUGACAAGCGAUGGCGACGGCUGUGGCCGUCGUUGACCUUCUUGGAGGCAUCGUUGCUUGUUCUUCCACCCCUCUAUGUGGAUCCGGCCAUUUCGGUCUCUCCGGGAGAAACCUUGAUCUGUGAUCAGACCAUGGCGGCACCUUGGUGUCGCAUUCCCUCUUGAGGGCUUCGUCUUGGGAGCUUGGCAUCGGUGAGCGGGACCGAUGAAUGACGGUUGGUGGCGGAUGUGGCGUCCAGACUUUUGAGUCAAUGAUGAUGGUGGGAGCGAUGUCAGCGACGCGUCAAUGGUUGCGGUAGUCGACUCUUCUUCAGCGUGUUCAUGAUUUUGCCUCGGUUUGCUUGUUGCUAUAGAGUCGAAGCUGCUACAGCGGGGCCCUGCGGUAUACGAUGACUGGCUGCAGAUAGCCCGUUCAGCGAUCUUUCGUGACGCCAGUCGUGCCUGGUUUUGUCCUACACAGUUCUUCGUCAGAGUCGGAGCUGCGUUGUCCGGCCGUAGGUCGACGUGGCGUCGAUAAGGAUGGGCUUUGCCCUGAGUGUGUCAGUCUAUGGGAGUGGGCUAAGCCCUUGUUGUACUGCUUUUUGCCCAGUUUUUCGUAAUUAACUGGACAAUUCUCUUCUGCUUAUUUAAUAGAUGAGGCAAUUUUUACCUUCGUCUCAAAAAUAAUAAUAAUUCAUACAUGAAUUCGAUAUUAUUUUCUUUCUUGAAUUCAACGUAGGGCUGUUCAGAUUCUGACAUGAAUUUCAAUGAAAAUCUCGCAUUGCAAUGUGGCUGUCCUUCUCAUGUAUUCCUCAAACUAUACAUUUCUCCGACAUGUUUGCGUAUUUCUCUCGAUAAAGUCGUCUUCGCUUCCCGUUUCCCGUAAGAGUUAAAUGCACGGGCGGUCCUCAAAGUUUACGAGAAGCGCCAAGUUGGUCCCUAAUCUAUGAAAAUGCACGUCUGGGUCCUAAAUGUUAGUUAAGUGAUUCAUGCGAGGUCCUUUUCUCGUCUGGGUCGUGGAUAUUUGCAUCUGAAGACUUUGUCUUUCUAUUCCCCGCUCCCUAGGUUUGCUCUUCCUCAGCUCUCUUCUCCAGCCGCCAUGUCUCUCGCUGGUAGCUCAUCGGGUGGCAAGAGAUCGAAGGCUUCAUCGUCGGUUGCACCGCUGCCAGUAGCUUUAGGACCCAGAAGGCCUGCACCUCUCGGGUCAGCACUGCCUUUAGUUCCGUGUCCGUGCUAUCAAAUGCGCCGGACGGUUCGGUGCGUUUCCAGAUCAGAAGCUAAUCCAGGACGUGUGUUCUAAAAGUGCCCUAAUCAUGGCGUAAGUUUCUCACUUCAAGAUUUGGGUUUUCAUUUGGAUUUGAAUGCUGAUUGAAUCCAUUGUUUUUUCUGAUUUUUUUCUUUCUGAAGAAGGUGAUGAAUCCUUGCAAUCACUACUACUGGGAAGAUGGGAAGGACAACUAUGUUGCAUUCCUAAUCGCAAAUGGAUUCAUCGCUGGUGGUGGCACUGCAUCUGUUGAUUAUUCGGGUGGCGACUUUCGGAUUGAAGCAAUUGAGGAGGAAAUAGGCAGUGGACUGAAGAUGGACCAAUUGGUUCCGAAAAUGGAACAAUGUCUGAAUAAGAUGGAUCAGUUGAUUGUGCUGUGUAGGCAUGUGAUUACUGCUUUGAUUGUGUUGAUUGCAAUAAUGUUGUAUGUGGCUGUAGCUAAGUAGAUUAUGUACCAGGAACUAGCAAUGAAUCUUUUGUGUUGUUGAUUGCAAGAAUGUUGUCGAUGUCGCAGACUAUGUAUCAGGAACUUGCAAUGAAUAAAAGUAUUUUCAGGAACUUGCAUUGACAUCACAUUCAUCCGAUACUUUGCAAAUCCAGAUUACACAUAACUUAAGAGUUGCACUAAUAAUGGUUUGUGUGAAACCAGUCACCACAUUUUGACAUCAGGUUUCAGUACAAACCACCAUGCAAAAUAUAUCCUAACCAUCAGGUUUCACUAGAUUUGUAGCCAAAAGAUAAACUCUGUCACUCGUCAUCUACAGCUAAGGGACUAUGUUCUCUUUCUUCUUGGUGGGCACAUUCUUCCUCCUUUUCAAGCCCAGUGUUGCAGUUGUUGACCUGGGAGGGGGUAGAGCAUCUCUACAACCCGCAAUAAACUCGCUCUCAGGUAGAGGACCUGGAAUUUGAGUCUGAGAUUGCUGAGUGGAUGCAACCUAUAAAGAAAAGGAAAAUGCGACAUUAAAUACUCAGCUCUCAGUGUUGCAGUUGUUGUUGCAGAAUUGCAGGACUAGGUAUAUGUACUCACCUGCUCUUGCAGAAUGUCAAUGAUGCUAGUUGUGGACAAAUCAGGGGUGCAUGAGGAUGCAACAACACUGGAAGCACUUCUCCUGGAUUGUGGCACUAGUUUUUUCUUGAUUGGUAGUUUUUGUCUGGUUUGUGUCAUCUGGGGAGCUUCUUCUGGUUCCUCAUCUGGUAGCAGUAUCUGAAUUGGCUCUGGCUGUGGAGAAAGACCUUCUGCCUGUCACUCAUCAGAGUCCAUGCCCUUGUACUUUCUAUGCCUAGAUCUUGUUUCAAUGUGCUUAGAAACCACUUCCAACUGUUGGUAUCUUCUACUUCCACGAUUGCAAUGGCUACAGGAAAUAUGCAAUCGUUUGGGUCAACACCAACAGCUGUCAACAUCACUCCACCAAAUUUUUUCUUGAUAUGGCACCCAUCAAUACAUAUAGUAGGCCUGCAUGCUGUGAAACCCCCCCUCUUACAUGCAUCUAAUGACAUGUAGCAGCUUUCAAACACUCCAUCUUUUGCACUAACAAACAUAGUGCUCCCAGGAUUAGAUCUUCUAAUUUCAGCAGCAAAAUCCCAGAGUAAAUUAUACUGCUCCAACUCAUCUCCAUGUAUCUUCUGCAGUGCAAUUCUUCUAGCCCUUGAAAGCUUGCUUCUACUAGGCUCCAUGUUGAACUCUGCUUGCACAACAUUUUUAAAAUUCUUGAGUGACAUUUUGUCAUCUGCUCUGAAAGAUUCCAAGUAUUUGGCAGCUAAAUACUUGGCUGUGAACUGCUUCAGCUGCCAUUCCCUUACACAUUGGUGUUCUCCCACAUAUUUCUUCACUGUCCAUGACUUAGUCCUGCUGUCAGGUGCAACAUACAAGUACCAAUGACAAUUUCCCUCUCCCAUACAGCAGGCCCUGACCCUCUGCAUCAUUCUUCUUGUAGAGUACCUGCACCCUUUGCUUGAUAAUAUACUCUUGAAUUGCAGCUCUGAGCUCAACAACAGACAGAAACACCAUGCCAAUGUGGAAUUCCACUUGUUUGCUGUUCUCUGGCCUCCACCUUUUGAGCUUCACUUUCUUCAUUACUUUCUUCUUUCCUUUCUUGUCAACUACUACAACAUCAUCACCUGAAUCUGCAAGUUCCAGGUCAGAAUCUUCAAGCUCCUCCAAAUCUGUAUCAUAGUCACUGUCCUGCUCCAGUUUGGAUUUUUUCUUUUUCAUGUCAUCAAUUUUUUCAUCCACGCACUCAUUGAAUAGAUCAUCAUCAUCUGCUCCAAUCUCAUUGUCAGAGUCAACCCAGUCUGAGUCACAAUCACUGUCUUCACUGCCACUAUCUAAGCCAAUGUGACCUUCUCCUUCUGCUGCUUGUCUCCUCUGGCUUCUUCUAAGCUCAUGCCCAACAUUUUGUUGCUGCUACUCCUGCUGCAUUGGUGGAACCCUGCUACUGCUACUUUCUACAUUACAUGUAGCAGAAUUGAGGGUCAUCAUUGAAGAAAGAUUUGGUGUGCCAGUAAGUUGAAUUCCAUCCAGUACAUUGUGAUAUGCCAUAUCUUUGUGGUCGACAAACAACUGGAAAAACUGAAACUUGGGAACCACAGCGAUCAUGCUUAGAGUGUCAGUGUCACUGUCGACAAUGCAAAGGCCUGUACCUAGGUUCUUUCCAGGCAGCAGCCAGUACAAACUAUAAUUUGUUGACUCAGAAUACCCUAGCUACUGCAUAAAAUCCCUAAGCCACAAAGGCGACCAAGUGUCUGCUUCACAUCCAUCAAAACGAGCAACUUUGCCAUCGGCAUAAGAUUUGGACGAGCCUAAUCCGCAAAAGAAUCCACCAUAGUUGAUUUCUACUGUGAACAACUCCUCAAGUGGGCCUAAGGACCUGUUUGGAUCCACUCCACUCUGGGAAAUGCUUAACUCCACUCCCAGCUCCCAGCUCCCGGCUCCCCAUGGAAAAUCAGGAGCAGACAACCUGUUCGGCAACUAACUUCCAGCUCCUAGGUUAUUGGUUCCCCACACACAUCGAGCUUGUUUUGACACUAGUCAAUACUACGCUGCUGGUCAAUAAUGCUGACAUUUUGCAAAUCUGACACAAAACUUCGUUCUGCAAAAUUUCACACAUAAUGACAUUUAUCACACAAGAACACUUCAGCAUGAGUUUCCUGAAAUUACAGGAUUUUAGCAACAUAAAAACUAGGAUUUUUCAGAUGACAAACAUGAAUAAAAACAACAUAAACACAUAUUUAUUUUGUAGACAUCAAUCUAGUUCUAUUGAAGCUCCUGCAGAAACAUGUUUUAACGCACGAAAAUCUUUGUGCAGAGCUCGUGAUUGCUUGAAUAGAACAAAAAAGAUGUAUACUCUGCUUCAGAUAAUUUCACCUACAAAAAGGUACAAAAUUUGUUAAUAGAUACAAAUACACAUCAAUUGUGAAAGAAGCACGUAAUCACUAAACUACCUAACAACAUCUUCAGGAUUCUAGUAUGAUGCAUCUUGCCACAAGGGAAUAAAUGACAAGUAAUAUAAUGGCUAAUAUUUCAGCGAAUAACAAAGACAAUAAACACUUUCGACAUCUUCAGGAUUCACAACUGUAGGACUCUAACAAAUAUAAACACAUACAUGGGGUAGAAACUAGUGUGUACUCACAUUUAUAGCAAAAGCGAAAGUCACCAACCAAGAGCAAUAUCAGUUGCUAGUUUAUUGCGAAACAUGUCCAUGUCUUUAUCGCUAGCCUCUGAGGUUGACGCGUCUGAUGCAUUUGAAGGGAUGGCGUACCGUUGAUACCUUGAAGGGAUAGUAGGGACAUAGUUGGGAUCUCUAUCGACUCGAAGAAAGUGAAGAUCACCCUUAUCAUGAUAUCGAACAUAAUUGUGAAGGGUCAUAGUUGCAGCCACUAUCAUCUUCUGAGUUUCAACCGAAUAAUUGGGCAUCUUUAGUAAAAUCUGCCACUUCAUUUUCCACACACCAAACCCUCUCUCAAUCACAUUACGCUUGGAUGAGUGUAUCUUGUUAAAUUUCUCCUUAGGUGUUCUUGGUGCCACACCUCGUUGAAAAUCACGCACAUGGUACCUCUCUCCCUUGUAAGGUGCCAGAUAUCCAGGUCUAUUAGGAUAGCCCGCGUCCACGAGAUAGUACUUACCUACAAACAACAGGCAGAUUGCAUGUAAGGCCUAUGAUUUUUUAUAAAGAAUUCGAAUAAACAAAACUAUUAUAGGAACUACUAACCUUUUGGAGGAUGAGGAAAGGUAUCUUUGUUAGCUUCAAUAGCAUGAUACAAGACACUGGUAUCAUGCAUAGAACCAGGUUGGCCAACUGAUGCGUACAUGAAAUGCAUGUCAAAAUCACAUAUUGCAAGAACAUUUUGAGUUGUUGAUCCCGACCUUCCAAUGUAUCUAACUUGGUCGCCAGCAGGAAUAGAAGCUCUGACAUGAGUACCAUCUAGUGCACCGAUGCAAUCCUUAAGAUGUGGAUAAGCCCUUCUAUCCUUUUGAAUCCUUGGGUGCACACUACUAAAGUUUGGGUCCUUAGGUUUGAGGUAAUCUGCUGCCAUCUUGAUCAUACAGAGCAAAACCUCAUGAAACUUACGAUGGACUGUAUCUCCUGAGUGCUUGAAACGGUUUUGUGUUCUCCUAUUAGAGUCACAACCCCCUAAAGUCCACAAAAACAUUGCAAGUGCCUCAUAACUGCUCACGAAACAGGUUGAUUUGAAGCCAUACCUUUCGACCAACAAGUCAUGCAAUUGAAAGAAAAGGCGAGCGUUCAUCCUCAACAUUGUAUAUGUUUCUCCAGGUGUUGCCACUGUCUCCUGUAGCCAUCCGAACCCACUGAGAAUAGAAGUCCUUGGGUCUACCUUCAUCAAAUAGUUGUCACAAUACUUCCCUGCAAGUAUUGAUGCACCGACAUAUAUGUUGGACAUUGAUUGAACAUGGUGGCAUACCCUCUUCUUCCUUUCUUCAUAACUAUCACUAUCAUUGUCACUAUCCGAUGACAUCUGAACAUACACAAGUAACAACAAUUAGUACUCAAUUAUCAACCAGAUUAGUCACAACAAGAAGAUAAGUAAGAAUGUAACACAAGAUUACCAAGAUCGAAGCAACACAAGUAAGAUUACCAAGAUUGAAGACACGGCUCAAACAAGGUAAAUGAAGGUACACAUCUAAAACAAGGGAAGAAAAGACUAAUGAAGUUCAAACCAAAAUAGUCUUACAGGCAAACCAUAGAGUACAUAAUGAAGUUCAAACUUUAAAUUAGUAUUACAUCCCAAUUGGUAGAAACGACAUUAGUAGCAUCUAAUGCCCAUAGUUGGUGUUGUAUUUCCUACGCAACCAAUCAAAAUGAGCAACACUUUCAGUCAUGUGCAAGAACAUAUCUCUCUGCUCUCUCUUCACAAAUAGUUCACUAGCAAUGAAAUAUUCAUCACUGCCAACUAUUGCACCGCACUCAACAACUAGAUCCAUCACAGAAGUAACCGAUGAACUUUCUUCUUUCUUCAUGUAUGACUCAAAGCUAGAUUGGGUCCUCUCUGUGAUAUCUCCAACCCUGGUUAUCUGUUCUUGUAUAACAAGUGAGGUCUUCUGCUUCUUGUUAUUGCCAUCAACAACCCUGCCAAGUCUCUUCCCUUUUCCAUCAGCAUGCGACUCACCUGUUUGUGUCUCCUCCAGAUCAACAUCGUGUAUGUUGUCCACAUUGAAAACUGAAGUUGCACUACUAGAUUGGGGAAUGGUGCCUGAAGCGGGAUUCCAAUGAUCUGUACCAUCACUCGUGAUAUCACCAAACAUGAUAGAUAAGUUAUUCUCAUUUUGAAGUCCACGCUUUUGAAACUUGCCACAACCAGAGAUGUCCUGAAAUAAAACAAAACAAAGAUUGAUUAGCAUCACUACUCCGCGAACAAUUGCUUAUAUGGUAAGAACAAAUAGGAAAAGUCAUGACUCACUAUUUUUGCUUUCUUCCACCAUUCAACAUCUUGUUUGACAGUGUUUCUCUCAUAGUCCCACCCACCACCAGUCUCCUUCAACUUGAGUUUUCUGAAGUUGUUGUAAUCAGCCUUCAGCUUAUCUCACUUGUUUUUCAGUUGGAGCCUGGUGUACUCCAGACCUGUUUUGACUUUGAAAUCAUUUGCAACUUCCUCAUAAGCAUUUGGAGUGAGGUGCUUGUCUGGCCUGUUGCCAACACACACUUGUUGGACAAAGAGCUCGUUCAAGAUCGUAGUAUUGUCAUCACUCCAAUCGGCAGACAUUCUUCAAGAAAAUUACAUAUUAAUUGCAAGCCUUACAAGUGAACACGUAUUGAUGAAAAAUCAUCAAUGAGGCUCCUAGUUACAUGCUAGCAAAGACCAUGGCGAAAAAGAAUCAGCAAAGCUACUCUAGUACGGACAAAUAAUAAAUAGUACUGUAAGAUUUCAUUUGAGACUAACUCCGCACACUAAAGAUAAUAUCGCACCAGCCGAUGAAACAACAUUUAGACCAAUUCAGACAAAACACGUAUCAGUAUGACUGUCUGAAGAAACACAUUUAAAUCUUUCUGCUGCUGCUGCUGCUGCUAAAACGCUGUUGCUGCUCCUAAAACGCCGCCGCUGCUGCUAAAACGCUGUUGCUGUUCCUAAAACGCUGCUGCUGCUGCUAAAACGCCGCUGCUGCUGCUGCUAAAACGUUGCUGCUGCUCCUAAAACGCUGCUGCUGCUGCUGCUAAAACGCUGUUGCUACUGCUGCUGCAACAUCUAUCAGCAAGGUUUCACCUACAACUAAUAUUUUCUGGAAUCAAGAACACAACAAUCUUUUAUGGAAUCAAGAACACAACAAUCUUUUUUGGGUGCAGUGAGGAGAUAUGGAUCUCACCUUGCUGGAUGUGUCGUGGGCCUGGAUGCAGACCUUGCUGACGAUGAAUCCAAGCUGCCGGAGACGAGGACGAGGCCCUGUUGAUCUCAGCUACCGGAGGCCGAGGUCGCAGCCGCCUUGAGGAGGUGGGCGAGGAGAUGCCGAGCUCGCAGCCGCCUUGAGGAGGGGGGCGAGGAGAUGGCGAGGUCGCAUCCGCUUGAGGAGGGGGACGAGGAGAUGGCGAGGAGGGGGACGACCGGACGAGGAGAUGGCGAGGAUCUGGCGGCAGGGGUAGCGGCGGCAGGGAGCUAGGGUUCCAUGCCGCGAGGUGUUUUGGGAGGAUGAAGGGGAUCGAACAGGUAUGUUUUGCGGAGGGAGUCGCGGGGAGUCGGACCUUAGCGACUCCGCCAAUCUGACUGGGAUCGGCUCCGCUCCACUCUUUUGACUCCGUGGAGUUGGAGCGUUCGGCGCGCUCCUUCCGUUCCCGGAGCAGAGUUGUGGAGUGGAGUGGAUCCGAACAGGUCCUAAGUAUCAUGAAUCUAGUCAAAAUCUACAUCUAAUUCGAUCUACUUGGCAUGGGGUUGAGAUAGGGUUAGGUUUCUUACCGUAGCGCGGCGGCGGAUCGCCGGGUCGCCGUAGCAGGGGCCCUUGCUUGCGGGCGCCAUUCACGCGGCCGUCGCGUCGGCGGGACCGCCUCAGCUAUCUGCCCGCCGGAGAUGCAACUCCACCCCCGCCGGUCGCCUCCCAAAUCGCCACACACAUAGACACGGGUUCGAGAGGAGAGGGACCGCGAUCGCUAUUGAAUCAGAUUUGGGGGGGGGGCCUUCAUGCAAAUAUGCGGUGACGUGGCGUGGGUCAAAGCUGGUCAAACGAAAAAAGAACCUCGCAUGAAUCACUUAACUAACAUUUAGGACCCAGACGUGCAUUUNNNNNNNNNNAAUACAUUAGGAACCUACUUGACGCUUCUCGUAAACUUUAAGAAUCGCCCAUGCAUUUAACUCUUCCCGUAAUGUAAAAAUGCGCCUACUCGGCGUCAAACUUCCCGCCAUUUGCGCCACCACCAAGCCCCCGAUGCCAUCCUCGCCAGCGCCGCGCCGCCGCCCGCCGGCGGCGGCGACCAGCACCGCCCUCCUCCCGCGGCUCCGGCUCGCGGUCGGCCAUACCUCCCCGCGCCGCCUCCUCCUCCAAUCCCUAGCGCUGGUCCUCACCUCCAACCUCUCAUCCACCCACGCCGCCGUCUCCUCCCGCCUCCUCAACUCCCUCCUGCCGCACCUCCCCGCCAGCCACCCCCACCUCCUCCGCUUCCUCCCCUUCGACCACCUCACCCUCCUCCUCCUCUCCUCCGGCAGCCCCAACCGCCACACCAUCUACCCCCUCCCCGCCGCCUCAUCCCUCCACGCGCUCGCCGUCCGCUCGGGACACCUGCCCGCCGACCUCCGCCUCGCCAACUCGCUCCUGGCGCGCUACCUCGCGCACGGCUCCCACGCCUCCGCGCGCCGCCUCUUUGCCGACGUCCCCCGCCCCGACGCCGUCACCUGGAACACCCUCCUCCGCGCCUGCCUCCGCUCCGGCCUCCUCCCCUCCGCACGCCACCUGUUCGACCAAAUGCCCGUGCGCGACCUCGUCUCCUACAACUCCAUGCUGUCCGGCCAUGCCGCGGCCGGGGACAUGGACGGCGCACGGCAGCUGUUCGACGGGAUGCCCGAGAGGGACGUGGUCUCCUGGAACUCGAUGCUGGCCGGGCACACCCGCUGCGGAGACAUGGAGGAAGCCAGGAGGAUGUUUGAUGCGAUGCCGGAGAGGGACGUCGUGUCGUGGAACUCGAUGCUGGACGGGUACGCCCAGGCCGGUGACGUCCUGGCGGCGAGGGCCGUGUUCGACGGCAUGCCGAGGAGGAGCACUGUGUCCUGGAAUGUCGUCCUGGCGCUGUACGCGCGGGUGAAGAACUGGCGGGAGUGCCUGAGGCUGUUUGACGCGAUGAUGGCGGUGGGGGCUGCCGUGCCGAACGAGAAGACCUUCGUGAGCGUCCUGACGGCCUGCGGCAGCCUCGGUGAUCUCGAGAGGGGAAAGCGGGUGCACGACCUGGUCCGACAGAGGUGGGAGACGCUCGUGCCGGACGUCCUCCUGCUCACGGCGCUGCUGACUAUGUACGCCAAGUGCGGGGUGAUGGAGGCUGCGAGGGUGAUCUUCGACUCGAUGGGCGAGAGGAGCGUCCCGUCUUGGAACUCGAUGAUCAUCGGCUACGGGCUGCAUGGGCAGAGCGAGAAGGCGCUCGAGCUGUUCCUGGAGAUGGAGCGAACUGGGCCAAGGCCGAACGAGACGACCUUUGUCUGCGUCCUGAGCUCGUGCGCCCACGGCGGCCUGGUGCUCGAGGGCUGGUGGUGUUUCGACAGGAUGGUCAGGCUCUACGGCGUUGAGCCCAAGGCCGAGCACUUCGGCUGCAUGAUGGACCUCCUCGGCCGCGCCGGGCUGCUCACAGACUCCGACACCCUUGUCCAGAACCUGCAAGAGAAGGCGUCCCCUGCGUUGUGGGGCGCCAUGGUCUCGGCCUCUCGGGCGCAGAACGGCUCCAGGCUCGGGGAGUUUGUCGGGAAGAAGCUGAUCGAGAUGAGGCCGAAGGAGGUUGGCCCGUACGUGCUGCUCUCGAACAUCUACGCCGCGGAAGGGAGGUGGAACGACGUCGAGAAAGUGAGGGAGAUGAUGAAGGGGAACGGGGCCGAAAAGGACGUCGGGCUGAGCCUCGUUGGAUCAAGUGAACCAGAGCACCGUAUUGGUACUGAAGAUGGCGUUGUUCUGUCGAUGCUGGGCGAGAUUGGCGCACAUCUGAAGCUGCCGUCCGUGGAGCCCAAGCGCAUGGAAGGGAGGCUGUGACUAGGAGAUGUUGUGUGAGUGACUCCACCGGACCGGAGGGCAUGCAUGUUGCAGCCUCCCUUGAGCAAGAAGAUCUGACGCCUUGUAUGCCGUUGCUGAUCGUGGAGCCGGAGCAUCAGGCUCCUACUACACUACUGGUGCUUGUGUUGUGCCGGGGCCAAUGGCCGAAGAAAUGAAAGCCGGGAGUGACUGCUGGCUGAUGGGCAAGCCACGGAACUUGGAAAAGAGAUUUGUAGGUCGAAGGCUUGAGAAGGAAGACGAAGCAGAGUCAGUGGAGGUUCUUGUUGUGCUCCAGCUCUUUCCAGUGGGCGGCUGGCUACUCAACUGAUCAGGUGAUGCGAUGUGAUGAUGAUGGCAUCAGCUGAGCGACGGGCGGACGGACGGCGUCUGCAGCAAGCUGCAAGAGGUAUUUGUUCCUUGGACAGGGUAGGAUGCUAGCCAGCCUCGUGGGCAUGAGUGGACCGUCCGGUGGAAUUGGCAUUAGGAUCUGUAUAAUAGAAGGACGAGGGGAAAAGGAACAUGACAAGUGCGAGAGCAUAUUCCACCUCUUUUUUGACUAGGCAUAUUCCACCUGUUGGCAAACAUAUGCGUCCAACGUUUUCGUGACCACCAUUUGCCUCUAAGGAACAGUAAAAUUGUUGCAACUAUUACUGUUUUACAUUUUUUUUUCCGUCAGGCAGUUUUUUUUUUUCAUUUUUUUCGCCUCCUGUGAGCCCCACCUGGCAUGGAGAUGGCUGUGUUGCCCAACAGAGGGGGAAAGAAAGAGGCGAGCAGCAGAAGACGAGGCCAGCCCAAGAAAUCAGGGAUCGAUCGAUCGGAUCCAACUCCGUCCAGUGCAUCGGUCCUAUAAGACGAGGACGAGCCACCGCCCCUUCACCCAACAUACCUCCUCCAUCUGCCUGCCGCGAGAGUCCUCCACUCCACAACAACCAUCGAGAAACAAGCGCCUAAUUCUUCUCUCGCACCAUGGCGUCCACCAAUGGCGGCUUUGCCAGGUACGUACUGCUUUCUCUGCCACCCCAACCCGAUCUCAUUCUUCUCUUCCGACGACCGACGCCACGGCCGCCUCCUUUCGCGAUCCGCAGGGCCAGCCGAGGGAGGCGAUCGCUCCUCGGUCCUCGCGUGCAUGUGUCAGAGUCGAGAGAAUCCGCAGCAAAAUUAAUCAAUCCCCGCCGGCGUGCGGCUGACUGUCCCCAUCCCUCCCCGGUCGUCCCGACCCACGGCUCGGAUUCCGGCUAUGGUUUCUUUGAUCCGUCCAUCAUCGAUGCCUCCCCGGCUAUGAUGUCUGCAGUUUUUUUUUUUUUUGUGUGUGUGUGUGUAGUAUUCAUUCGAUCUUCUUGGGGUCAGUGAUUGUCUAAAGCGGCCCGGCUGGCUGGUGCGCGUCCACGUGCUUGACUGAAUUGGGGAGCUGGAAUCUUGUCUGUCUUCAGCGGCAGGUCGAUAAUAACAAGCUGUUCAGAGACUCCAUUGUUAUUCAGGAAACUUCUCUUAUGAUCUAUACAUGCAGUUUCGUUAUUCGUAACAACCUGCUCUGUUCAUACAUGUCAAGCUAGCUAGGGUGAGAGUUUGGGAAAAACAACUAAAAUUUUGCAUGCCAAACGACUGUCAGCGAUAUCCAUGUGAAACUGGAACAGUCGAACCGUACAAUUCCACAUUUCGGAAUUGAACAAGAAAGGCAGGCAGUAGUCGACGUUCUCUGUCUUGCUUGAUUUGUUCCAUGGGAACAAUGAUGCUGUUUGAUCAUUAGCCCGUCGUCUUGAUAAAUGUCUUCUGCUACACGAGUGUUGUCGUCCGGUCUCUGCGCCUGUGAUAAAUCCAUGUCUGCUGCAUGAGUGCUAUUAGCAAUUCGCCGUGCGUGGUUACUUUGAAAUACCUGCGGUCUUUAGUACCUUGGGUAUCGGCACUUGCCAAUGACGUGAUUCCGAUACUUGGCCUGUCCGGUUUUUCUUGUUCUAUUAUUUAGAAAAAUGCAGGCAGACUCACACAUCUACGGCUCUCCCAUGUAUAUGUAAAAGCAGAGAAAAGAAAAGCCCUGCUUGCCUGUAUUCUUGGGUUUUUAGUGUGGGCUGCUUAAAUAUCAUUCAAGUCAAUCAUUUGCAUGUUCAGAUAGCACUUUGAAGAUUGUGAAUGCUGAACUUUAACUGCUUUCGGUACUUUGUAGUCCCCUCGCAGCGACCGUUCCGGUUGAGGCGGUUCUCUUUGACAUCGAUGGCACUCUGUGCGACUCAGACCCUCUUCAUCACGUCGCUUUCCAAGAAAUGCUUCUUGCGGUAACUAGUUUUAUAAGAUGCGUGAUAUUUUUUUAUAUUUUAUUAGUUUUGCUAGCAAGCUGACUGGGCUAAUGGAUGUAAACAGAUUGGGUACAACAACGGCGUGCCCAUAGACGACGAGUUCUUCAUAAACAACAUUGCUGGAAGGAGCGAUGUUGAAGCUGCCCAAAAUUUGUUUCCAGACUGGCCUCUCGAAAAGGGGCUGAAAUUCCUAGAGGAGAAAGAGAUCAAAUACAGAAGGUACACCGAGUGGGAGUUACUUGGUUAUAUGAUUUUUCUAUAAGCAAUGGAUUUUAUGUAAGGUUGCCGAUGGUUCAAGUAUUCUUAUGGGCUGUUCUCAUUGUUAAUGUUUUUAUCCUUAUUUUUUAAAAUUCUUCUGAGAACCACUAGUUGGUAAGUACUCCUAUGACUUGGUGAGGAUAAAUAUUUAUAGUCCCUUGUUUGUUGCAGUUUGGCAAUGGAGCGCCUAGAGCCUGUAAAGGGACUUGGCAAGCUGGUUCAGUGGGUGAAAGAUCACGGCUACAAACGUGCUGCAGUAACCAAUGCCCCAAGGAUCAAUGCAGAGCUGAUGAUCAAACUUCUUGGUCUAUCAGACUUCUUCCAGGCCGUGAUAGUUGGAGGUGAAUGCGAGAAGCCAAAGCCCGCACCCUUCCCAUACCUGAAGGCCCUCAAGGAGCUCGAAGUAUCUGCGGCACACACCUUUAUCUUCGAGGUAUGCCAACACUAAUAAAUUAUAUCGCAUUUUUUUAACACGCCAUCUGGAUUUGCGGACACAUGGUACUAAAACAUGCUUUCCUUGCAGGACUCUGCUUCAGGGACGCGUGCGGGUGUUGCUGCGGGGAUGCCCGUCGUCGCCGUGUUGACGAGGAACCCGGAGAAGUCCCUAGAGGAAGCCGGGGCCGCAUUGAUCGUCAAUGACUAUGAAGACCAGAAACUGUGGAACGCGCUCGAGGAGAUUGACAGGGAGGAAGCGAAGCUAAAGAGUGGUGGGGCAUGAGACGAUGAUGGCGACGAACAGUUCAUUAGACCACUGCAAACUUACCCAUUCUUAUUAUUUAUAAGGGAAUCUGCGCCCUGAAGUUAUUAUGGUAGGACAGAGCUCAUCUAGGUAUUUUGAGCUUUUUAGUUUGGUAUAUGUGUUUGUUUCUUGUUGUCUAUUCCUUCUGUACCUAAGUACUUGUAGUUGGGGAGCUUCUGGACCUAAAUAUUUGUAGUUGGGGAGGUACAGAGGGAGCAGGAGAGAAGCAAAUAAGAAACUUUUGUGCCCAUGACAUGAGAUUGUUCGGUUGAUGGGGCCUAUGAAAAUGGCAUAUCUAUCAGGCCCAUUGCCUACCAGCUCUGAAUUUUGACUGGUGAGCACUCUGUUUGAUUGAGCUUUGCUUUAUUAUUAAUCUGAAAACAAUAUGAUAAUGAUGGACAUCGCAAUGGGGACUGCUCCUUCAAACAGAAGUUAUUGGUAGCACAGAGACUCUUUAUGAUUCAAGGGAUUCUACAUCCUGAAGUUAUGGUUUCACGGAGCUCAUCCAGGCAUUUCGAGCUUUUAGUUUGGUAUACGUGUUUCUUUAGAAACAAAUAGAAUAUCUUUAGAGCCCAUGCCAUGAGAUUGCUGUGUUGAUGGGACGUAUGAAAAUUGCAAAUCUGUUACCACCUCCGAAUUCUGACUUGUUAAUCA